rnacentral:lncRNA from 1 species
CAGUAAAUAAUUUUUGUAGCGUAAAAGCUAAAUAAAUUCAUACAUACUGUAAUACAGAUAACCAAAGUAUAAAAUUUAAUUUACAGUAACACGUGGGCCCACGAACGACCAAAAGUAUCAAAAGCGGUAAACCUACAGUUUUUGAGGAUGCAAGUCCAACUGUAGCCCUUAACGAAAUGAGUUAUUUACCAACUAUCCUGAGCCUAAAAUGGGUGGAAAGAAGGGUGGUGAGAUUAUACAAUCCCAAUGAGUAAACAAAUACCAUAGAAAAUAUCUAAAGUUGAGUAAAUGGAGACAGAAAAAAUAGUUUAUCAUAUUGUAAUUCAUCACCUUUCAACUCAUUUCAACCAAAUAAACUUAAUUCAUAUAAAUCGAGUAUUCAACAUGGCUUAUGAAUUUCUCAAAAGCUUUUGCUCGUGCCAAAAUCAUUCUUAUACUUAGUUAUCAAGGAUACCUUGGCCGAGGGCUAUCACAACUGAGUCCGCAAAGGCUGAUAAAAAGUUAUGUACGCAUAAAUUAUGUUUUUAUUUUAAAAACAUAGUCAUUCCUUAGCGUUGGCUGAGUUCACCCUCACGUGGUGGUUUGGCGUGAAGUGAACUUUAAAGUGUUAACCUCAGGAGUUAUCCGUCCGCGCCUCUCAUACUGAGGUAUGACUAUAACGGGGUUACCGUACGUCCUCUAAUAGGAUGGUCCACGGAACCCGUACACUGCAGCGACUAAUCAAUAACCCACUAAUUCAAUAAAAUUUAACAGCAUGACAUGGCAAUUUUAUCAUUAUCCAGCCUAUCAAGGCAAACAACAGUUUAUACAUUUUCAACAUAAAUACCAAUUCAGCUAUUCAUGCCAAUAUUGCCAUAAGCCAAUCAAUUAGAACCAUAAAUUCACAAUACAUCAAAUGGUCUCCAAUUACUUUAUUUUCAAAGCCAUCAUUCAAUUUCAAGACAAUUUUUAAAAUAAUUUCAUUUAAACACAUUUUGUUUAUAAAACAUAAAGAUUUACCAUUUAAACUCAUUUUUCAUAAAAUCACAAAAUCGGAGAAAAACCAUUAUAGAUAAUUAAGAUGAUAGUAAGGUUACUCACUAUUUCGGGAGUCGAAUUCCGAGUACUCCGAUUCUUGAUCCUCGGGUACUAUCUCUUUACUUUUGCCAAAAUGCUCACCACCUAGACAUAAUGCACAAUAAGCCAUUUACUAUAUUUGUGCUAAAUUGUUAUAAAACCAAUUCAGGCUCUAUAUUAAUGCAUGAAAUGGGAUGCAAAUUGUUCGGAUUAUUGUCUAAACACGGUGUUCUACACAAAUUCAAUUGUGUACCUAAAUAAAACGGUAUUGGCCUAAUUCGAUCUAUCACUCGAUUAAUUGGCCAAUAUGUCCAAUUUAACUCCAAAUAAUUCAAUUUUUCUUCUAAUUCUCCAAAUCAUCAAACACAAAUUAAAUAACUUGAAAUAUGGCGAAAUCAUCCUCACAUUUUUUCUUGGAAAAUUCGGCCAUCGUGGGUGCAUAACACUAUAAUUUUUCCUACAUGAUUCUCACACCAUAAAUCACUAAUUCCUAACCAAAUCACUUGAAAUAAAAUUAAAAUCAUCAUCAAUAUUCUACAUGGAGAAUUCGGCCAAUGAUGGGUGAUGGAAGAACAUGAUUUUUUCUUGCUUGAUUUUCAUGCUACACAUCACCAAUCAACUAAAAACACUAAAAUACAUUGAAAUCUAACCAAAUCAAGCAUCAAAACCUCUCUCUAAGUGUUCAGCCAGCAAGAUACCCAUCAUGAAAUCAUGUGAUUCAACCAUGAAAAAUGCAAAAGAAUGCAUGGGAAAGGUAGAUCACAAGUGAAAAUCAAAAAAUUUUACCUUUAAUUGCUUGAUUACUUGGAAUCCACCAAUUUUCUCUUGAAUUUUCACCCUAGGGUUCUUGUUCUUUCUUUUCUUCCUUUGUUCUUGCUUUGGCCGGCCAUAUGAAGAGAAAUGGGCUGAUUUUGUGCUAAUUUAUAAGGAAAAUAAUAAAUGGAUGAAACUUUGACACAUGUCACCAUUCCAUUAGUCCAUGUGUCAUACUUACCUAUUAAGCAAUCUCUCUCCACCACUUAAAUUUCCUCAAUUAUCCAUGAUAAUAUUGGGUAAAAUUCAUGUGCUGGACAAGUGUUGGGUGGUGUAAAAUUACAAUUUUGCCCUUGGGGUGGUAAAAUGACUAUUUUGCCCUUAUGCUCAAAAAAAUGCCGGAAUUAAAAUUUUUCACUUUUCAAACUCAAAUUAUGUUCUAUAUAAUCAAUCUUGACCAAAAGCUUCUUCCAACAUUUCAAUUUUAACCUCGGGUGGCAAAAUGACCAUUUUGCCCCUAGGUCAUGAAAAUUCUAAUUUGACUACAAAUUGGUCCUCGAACUCCGAAUCACCAUUUUAAGUCAUUCUGGGGUUUUAAAAUUCUCAAUUUCAUCUUAAAAUCUCUAUUUGGACUAGUUCGAGGCUUAAUUCAACUUAAUGGUACCAUUUGGUACAUUACCGUCCUUUAACGAUUUUCGAGGUACCCAAGUAAGCAAACAUGCAUUCUUAUGUAAGAAUGACAUAAUAAACAUAUUGUAGAGCCGGGCUUGACACCGCACAUGGCAAAUAUCAUCAUGUACACUCUUGCACCACAUCAUCACCGACAUGUGCACUCCCACACCGCACACACUCUAUUGUAAUUAACACACAAUAUUAUCGUUCAAGGCAUAACAUGCAUAGCAUCAUAAUAUAGGAACACAUGAAUUCAUCACAUUUCACAUUUCACAACAUAAAAACCUUUCAUCAAGGGCUUGUUCCCAUGCAUAUUUUAAAGAAAAGACCAAUAAAUAUUUUAAGUGAUUCAAUCAAACACUUAUGCAUUUAUCCCAAAACAUUUUAAUGCAAGUUCAUUCACCUGUCUUUGUUGACUCUUUAAGACUCCAACAUCCACUAACGCUCCAAAAGGAGAUGUGGGGUCUCGUUGGAACCUAUCACACAAAAUAGCAUCACAACCAACUCAUUUGACAUGAAUAUUAUUCCAAAAGCUAUUUUCUAAAUCAAACUUUACUAGUUAUUACUCACUAGUUUCCAAUUACCAUUUGACUAGUCAUUAGUUUGCACUACUCUAGUCACACUAGGAAUAAAUAAAUAACCUUAAACAAUAAAAUAGCCCACAAUUCUAAUUAUUGGCCAUUUAUCAACAACUUAAAAAUCAACCCUAACUCAUUACUCACCUUGAUGGAUUUGUAGUUGAAUUCCUUUUCAAAAGCUUUUCAAGCUAUUAUGCAAAGUCUCCCUCUCUCUCUAAAAUAUCAACUAGUGAGAGAAAGUGCUGAGGAAAGACUUUUGAGAGUUUUUAAAGUGAAAGAGUGAAGGAGCAAGAAAAAUCCUAUUGAAAGGUGUAUAGAAACAUGAAAAUUUGAGUUACUUUGAGAAAGUUAUGGAGGUUUUAAGGGUGGCCUCCAUGAAAGAUGGAGAGUUUGAAAUGGAGAGAAAGGAUGGGAGGAAGAAGAAAAAGCUGUUUGAAGUAAGAAAAAAGCUGCUGAAAAAUUAGAUAUUUAUUCUUAUGGUUGACAAAACUCCACUUAUUUACAAAAAUACCAUUGCAUAGUUGACAAAAGGUCCACAAUAGAUUAGAGGUACUCGAGUUCAUGAAAACUUACAAAUUUAGACUCGAGACCUAAAAUGACCAUUUUACCCUUAUUGUGGAAAUUAUCAUUAUUUCUAUUUUCUUCGUUUAUUUCAUUAUUAUAUACCUUAUUCAUUUAUUCCUUAAGCCUACUUAGACCUUAAUUAUAUUAGAAAAACCCACUUCUAGGAGCUUACCAAAAAAACGACAGAACUACCCCUAAUCCACGUCAUCGUGUCUACCUCUGCUACUGUCAAUUAAAUUCCUACUACGCAAGUAUACGUAUCGAAUACAUAGUAUAUUAACAAGUAGGGUAUCGAUCCCAUAAGGAAUUAAUCUAAAAUUUUACUAAGUACUAAAAUUAGAACAAUUUAAUCUUAUCCAAAUAAUCAAAAUUAAUUAAUUAACUAAAACUAAUUAACUAAAAUUAAAACCAACAAGAAAAAUCAAAAUAUUAACUUGAGAAAAUAUCAAAUCAACAAACCUAGGAUUACAAUAUCCCUCACACUUCAUCUAAAUCCUAUCUCUUUUCCUUAACUUAUUUCAAUGGGUUGAAUUGCUAACCUAGAGUCCUAAAUUAUUUAUAAGGGUCUCCCGACUCAUUUUAUAAAAAUAUCUAUUUUAAUAAAAACACUAUAUCCUUAUGUGAAUUGAAAUUAAAACAAACUCAUUAAGUUCAGGUUCUAAUCUUGCUACAUAUGGCCUAUAGGUAUAUCCCUAUCCUACACGCAAAUCAAUUAAUAUAAUCAUAUGCUAUCCCAAUUUUAGUCUACACUAAACUCCCUUUCCCAAGUUUGCUUAGGUUCCUAAAUCAAUUAAUUGGUGGCUAGACAAUUAAAAGCAUUAAGAACAAAUUGAAAUAAAUAAUUAAAAUCCCAUUAAAAAUAAGCAAGAAAGAGAUUAAAAAUUUAGACUACAUGUGAGUUCAAUUGCAUUCCUAGAAAAAGAAAUUUAGCUACUCAUAAUUGCAAAAUAAAAUAACAUUAUAAUAAAUUUAACCAUUAAAAGUAACAAGAGAAUUAAAAGCUAAGGAAAACACAAAACAAUUAUUGCCGACUUGAUCUCCAAGUUUCAGCCUCAACUUCUAGUUUUUUGAAUCUCUCAAAAGUUCCUCCUCCUAAUGUUGCUAAACAUAUCCUAUUUAUAUUAAUAAACUUAACCUAAAAUUCCUUAAGCUAAGGUUUAAUUUGGGCAUAAAAGUGUAAUGAGAGGCCCAAAAAUCAAUUGUCCAUCUUUACAAAUUUCCAUUCCCGAUACAAUAUGUUCAACCAUUUUUCGACGUGAUUUUCUCUAUCUUCGAAGCAGAACUGGGCAAAGUGAUCUUCAUGAAAGUUUUAGCUCUGUCUCUUAGCUAUUGGUCUAAGAAUUAUAUCAUUUGGAGUUCUAUAACUUGAGAUAUGGCCAAAAUAUCGAAGUAUAUGCAAGCAGAUUCUGGGUCUUUCAACACUUUACUUUCCAAAAUUAAGCCCAAUCACUUUUAAUCCUAUAAAAGAAAUAUAAAAACUAACAAAUGAUAACCAAAUUAAAAAGAAUAAUAUAAAAUUAAAAUAACUAGCUUAAAAGUAGCCUAAUUAUAAAACAAACUAAAAAUAAGUAAAUUAUAAUUGAAAAUUGAAGACUUAGCUAAUAUUUAAUAACAAAAUUGGAAUAAAAUAAUUCUAUAAAAUAGAAUUAUCACACCCUCAAACUUAAGAUUUUGCUAGUCCUUGAGCAAAAGAAAAUUUUAAAAAGAAAACUGAAUCAUAAAAAAUCUUUAAACAAGAGAUAGAAAUACCAAAUCAUGAUUUCUCAAUUUUUCCUCAGAAAUUAACUCUAAUUCCAACUUAAGGUAACAUACAACUAAUCUUUAAAUUCAUGCAUCAAUUCAAGUGAAACUUAUUUUUUCAAAUGGACUUCCUGUGUGUGUCUGAAUGCUCUCUUACAAAGAAUCAUGCAAUUUAGAUUAGUUUUAUGUCAACUCUAAGCAUAGAUUAGUACUAGGAUCCCAUAGGUUUACUUUUCAUUUCUCUCUCCACUAAUGUAGAUUAACACUUAUUCAAGGAUCAAUAGGUCUUUAUCAAGCUUGUAAUGUAAAGCUAGGGUCAAGGUAUGAUAAAGGAUAUAUUUAGGCUCAAAUUCACCCUAAGCACUUAAUCAAUCUAGAUCAUAUAAAGAGCUCAAAAAUUAUUUUUUUCUGUAUAGCACCCCCAAACUUGAAGUAAACUUUCCUUUGUACAACACACUUUAUUUCUUUUCUUUUCUCUUUUUUUCAACCCCCAAACUUAUUUUUGACAAUUAUAGACUAGGGGUAAUUUUACUAACAACCUUCACUUUUUGUGUUUUGUUUUUUUUUCAGACCUUUCUCUAUCAAUUUAUCUUUAAGCUCAAAUUUUUUUUCACACCUUUCUCCCUCAAUUUAUCUUUAAGCUCAAAUCAUUCUUUAGAACGAUUAACAUACUUAGAGGGUGAAAGGUUCAAAUUGCUGGAAUUAAAUAAACAGGCCAAGGCUAAUAUAACUGUGUAAUUACAAAGAAAAGGUAAAUUAGGCUUAAAAAGGGUGACUAAGGAUAAAUAUAACAAGGUAGGCUCAAACGAUCCAAAGAUGGCCUAAAUCACUUCCUAUCCUAAGUGUUAUCUAAGAUUUCGCCUCGAGAGAGAAUCAAACAAAUUUUAGAAUUCUUGACUCCACUAGACUUUUUCAUCAAUAUAAAAUUUCUCUAAAUCACACAUAAAUUCUAAGUAGAAGAGUAUAGUGCUUCAAAUUAUUGAAAGUCACAUUCUAAAAUAAAGCUAACACAAGAAUAUCACAUAAAAUUAAAUCCUAACUAUAUGCUUCCCAAAAGCAAAGAAUCAAAAGAUAAUUAAAAUAUCAUCCUAGGAUUGGGACAAUCAAGAAUAAGAUAUACCUAUCUCAAUUUUUUUUCAACACAACAAAACAUGCAAAACACAAAUAAAACAUGUAAAUAAACUAACAAAAUUCUAAACUAUUCCCCCAAACUUAGAAUGAACAUUGUCCUCAAUGUGAUAAAAGAAAAUAAAAGAAAAAGGACAAGAAUACUCCACUACUCGAAACUGCAGUCUGCAUGUCCUCCACAUGGCCACCACCCAUCAUCAACUCUCAGCAACAAAGCAUUCAUCAAUUAGAUAUGCAGCAAAUGAAAAGUUCAUGAAUCCAUUAUAUGGGUAACAAGAAAUUGGCACUAAUCUUCAAAAUUUUCAGCACUCUAAGCAUUAAUCAUGAGGAAGUCUGAAAAACUUAGGAGUGCAGGAUUUCAAAAAAAAUUAAAAAAAUCCAAGUAGAAAGAAAAUGCAAAAAUUUGGAGUGAAAAAAGGAAGAUAGAGGAACGCAAGAGAUUGGCAAGAUGAGGAAUAAUGGGAGUAGGGAUGGUAGUCAAAGAAGAAGAAGAGUGACAAAAGAAGAAAAGAAAAAGAAAAAAAUAUAUAAAUAAAAAAAUAAAAAAGAUUUUCAAAGCAAAAUUUUUUUUUUCACCCGAAGCUUUACACUUCGGGCUUGAGCGCCGCGGCUCUCAGGGUUGAGCGGGGCUACGCUUAACUUUUCUGCCAAUCGUUGUUUGUUUAGCAUCGCGGCACUCCAAAUGAGGCCAGCGACGUUGAAACAUUCUGUUUCAGUGACUAAUUGUUGCUUCAUCCAGCGUCACGGCUCUCCCUUUAAGGGCCGCGAUGCUGAAACAUUUUGUUUCAUGCUGCAGCGCUUAUUUCUUUUUUUUUUUACCAAUUACUUGCAAAAGGAAUCAAAAGACAAAAAAAAUUAAUAAAUCAAAAAAAAUAAAUUCUAACUAAACUAAAAACAAUUUUAAAAAAUAAAAAAUAAGUAAAGUUUAGAAACUUAGGUUACCUCCCAAGAAGCGCUCGUUUGUAGUCACUAGCUUGACUAUAGUGCCCCCUUUUUCAGUUCUUCAUCCUCGAAAUAUCGUCUAAGGCUCAUCCCAUUAACCAUGGUUGUUUCUGUAUCCUCACUAUAAAUCUCAAUUAUUCCACAAGGAUAAGCCUUUACUACUUUGAAAGGACCCCACCAUCUUUCUUUGCGUUUCCAUGGAAAAAGCUUGAAGUAUGAUCUAGAAAGCAGCAUUACUUGUUGUCCAAUCUCGAAAGGACGAUUAGAUGGUGGUGAAAGAUGCUCCGUUGGUGAUUGCUCAGCUCUCACAGGCCGAGGUGGUGGCUUAAACUCAAAGAUUGGUGCUUGCUCACUUAUAGGUGGAGAAUUAGGUUCACCUUUUCCUUUAUCAAUUAGCUCCACUCUAUAGCAACAAUUUGUAGAGCUAGGAUGUUUAUUUGCAUUGAAAAUAUUAAACUCAACUACCUCUUCUCCAAUUUUAAAAGUUAUCUUGCCUUCCCUCACAUCAAUGAUUGCGCCUGCGGUAGCCAAGAAUGGUCGUCCCAAGAUUAAAGGAAUUUCUUGAUCUUCUUCCAUCUCAAGCACAAUGAAGUCCACCAGAAUGUAAAGAUGCCCAACUUUAACCAAUAUAUCCUCAAUAAUCCCAACAGGAUACCUGAUUGUUCAUCUACUAAUUGCAAAGAAACUGUGGCAGGUUGUAUCUCUUUAAGUCCAAUUUUCUCGGCAGUUGACAAUGGUAUGAUUGAAACGCUUGUACCCAAAUCACAUAAAGCUUUAGUAAAUUUAAAUCUACCAAUAGUACAAGGUAUAGAAAAACUCCUUGGAUUUUUAAGUUUUGGUGGAAGCUUGUUCUGAAUUAUUGCGCUACACUCCUCAGUAAGUGCCACUGUUUCAAAAUCUUCAAGUUUCCUCUUCUUAGUUAAGAUAUCUUUCAGGAAUUUGACAUAACUUGGCAUGUUUUCCAAAGCUUAAGCAAAAGGGAUGUUUAUGUGGAGUUUCUUGAAAACAUUAAGGAAUUUCUCAAACUGUUUAUCAAGCCUUUGCUUUUUCAACCUUUGUGGGAAUGGUGGUGGAGGGUAAUUUGCUUCAAAAUUCCCUUGAUUUUUAGCUUGCCCAUUAUCUGCCUUUCCCACUGCAACUUAUUUCUCAACAAUCGCCUUGUCAUCAUCUAGAUACUCCUUUGAAGAUUCAAUUGAUUUUUCAUUCACCCCUUCAACUUCUUUUCCACUCCGAAGUGUAACUGCAUUAUAAUGUUCCUUACCUUUGGGAUUGACUUGUGUAUCACUUGGUAAGGCACCUUGGGGUCUAAUGUUUAUGGAGUUUGCAAGCUGUCCCAUUUGGGUCUCUAGAUUUCUCAAGGAGGCUCCAUAGCUCUAAAUUAUGGCAUCAGUCUUGGACAUAUAUUGCAAGAUAAGUUCUUCCACUUGGGACUUCUUUUCAAGAAUUGGUGGUCUAGAUUAUUGUUGAAAACUAGGAGGCAUGUUGGGGUUUGAAUUGGAAGGCCCUGCAUUGUUGUUCCAUGAAAAGUUGGGGUGGUUUCUCCAACUAGGAUUGUAUGUAUUAGAGUAUGGGUUAUUCUGUUGCUUGUUGAAGUUCCCCACAAAUUGGACUGAUGUAGAAUUGUAUGAACAUUGAUCACUGGAAUGGCCAUCUCCACACAUCUCACCAACUACACAUGAAUUUUGAAUUGCAUGGACUCCUAGUGUGUCAAUUUUCUUGAACAAUGCAGUCACUUGUGCAGCUAAGUUGCCAAUUGCAUCAAUUUCAUAUGCUCCAACAGCUUUUCUCGAACCCGACCUUUCUGAAGGCCAUUGAUAAUUAUUUGAAGCCAUCUCUUCCAACAAAUUAUAAGCGUCUACAGCAUUCUUACUCAUCGAUGCCCCACCAACAGCAGCAUCAAUUGUGGUUUUAAUUGACCCAACCAGCCCAUUGUAGAAUGUCUGAACUUGCAACCAAUCAGGAAUCCCAUGAUGUGGACAUAUUCGCAGUAGUUCUUUAAACCUUUCCCAAGCUUCAUACAAGGACUCAAAAUUGUGUGAAUGAGGUGAUGUCGUUCCUCAACUUUGCAGUCUUUGUAGGCGGAAAUAACUUUGUGAGAAACUUUUGAGCCAAGUCCUCCCAUGUAGUGAUAGACCCAUUGGGCAGUGAAUUAAGCCAGCUUUUUGCUUUAUCUCUCAAAGAGAAUGGAAACAGUCUCAACCUAAUAGCAUCAUCAGUUACUCUAUUGUAUUUAAAGGUAUCACAAAUCUCCAAAAAAUUAACUAAAUGAGCAUUAGGAUCAUCAUUGGGUAAUCCACCAAACUGGACCGAAGACUGGAUCAUCUUAAUGUAAGCUGGUUUAAUUUCGAAAUUAUUUGCAUUGAUAGAAGGUCUCCUAAUACUUUGGUGCAAACCUUGCAACAAAGGAACUGCAUAAUCUCGCAAUGCUCUAGUUGCUUCGGGAUCUAGAUUAAUGGCAUUAUUUCCAUUAUUAUUGUUAUCCUCAGCCAUUGUCUAAUUUAAAGUUGCAACUUGCAAAUUCUCCCUUCGAUGUCUUUUAAAAGUUCUUUCUAUCUCAAGAUCAAAAGGAACAAGAUUCAAGUUCUCUCUUCUUUGCAUACAAUGACCAAAGAUAUCUGCAAGCAAACAAAAUCUAAAAUUAAAACAAGAAAAAUAAAAUUUGAAGUAAAACCAAAUUGCUUGGUAUUAGUAUUAGUAAAAAGUCUAGAAACAAUUCCCCGACAACGACACCAAAAACUUGUCAAUUAAAAUCCUACACGCAAGUUUACGUAUCGAAUAGAUAGUAUAUUAGUAAGCAAGGUAUCGAUCCCACAGGGAAUUAAUCUAAAAUUUUACUAAAUACUAAAAUUAGAACAAUUUAAUCUUAUCCAAAUAAUCAAAAUUAAUUAAUUAACUAAAACUAAUUAACUAAAAUUAAAACCAACAAGAAAAAUCAAAAUAUUAACUUGAGAAAAUAUCAAAUCAACAAACCUAGGAUUACAAUAUCCCUCACACUUCAUCUAAAUCCUAUCUCUCUUCAUUAACUUAUUUCAAAGGGUUGAAUUGCUAACCUAGAGUCCUAAAUUAUUUAUAAAGGUCUCCCGACUCAUCUUAUAAAAAUAUCUAUUUUAACCAAAACACUAUAUCCCUAUGUGAAUUGAAAUUAAAACAGACUCAUUAAGUUCAAGUUCUAAUCUGGCUACAUAUGGCCUAUAGGUAUAUCCCUAUCCUACAUGCAAAUCAAUUAAUAUGAUCAUAUGCUAUCCCAAUUUUAGUCUGCACUAAACUCCCUUUCCCAAGUUUGCUUAGGUUCCUAUAUCAAUUUAAUUGGUGGCCAGACAAUUAAAAGCAUUAAGAACAAAUUGAAAUAAACAAUUAAAAUCCCAUUAAAAAUAAGCAAGAAAGAGAUUAAAAAUUUAGACUACAUGUGAGUUCAAUUGCAUUCCUAGAAAAAAAAAAUUUAGCUACUCAUAAUUGCAAAAUAAAAUAACAUUAUAAUAAAUUUAACCAUUGAAACGAACAAGAAAAUUAAAAGUUAAGGAAAACACAAAACAAUUAUUGCCGACUUGAUCUCCAAGUUUCAGCUUCAACUUCUAGUUUCUUGAAUCUCUCAAAAGUUCCUUCUCCUAAUGUUGCUAAACAUAUCCUAUUUAUACUAAUAAACUUAACCUAAAGUUCCUUAAGCUAGGUUUUAAUUUGGGCUUAAAAGUGUAAUGAGAGGCCCAAAAAUCAAUUGUCCAUCUUUACAAAUUUCCAUUCCCAAUACAGUACGUUCAGCCAUUUUCCUACGUGAUUUUAUCUAUCUUCAAGGCAAAACUGGGCAAAGUGAUCUUGAUCAAAGUUGUAUCUCUGUCUCUUAGCUUUCAACUGGUUUAAGAAUCACAUCAUUUGAAGUUCUAUAGCUUGAGAUAUGACCAAAAUACCGAAGUAUAUGCAAGCAGAUUCUGGGUCUUUCAACACCUUACUUUCCAAAAUUAAGCCCAAUCACUUUUAAUCCUACAAAAGGAAUAUAAAAACUAAUAAAUGAUAACCAAAUUAAAAAGAAUAAUAUAAAAUUAAAAUAACUAACUUAAAAGUAGCUUAAUUGUAAAAACAACUAAAAAUAAGUAAAUUAUAAUUGAAAAUUGAAGACUUAGCUAAUAUUUAGUAACAAAAUUGGAAUAAAAUAAUUCUUUAAAAUAAAAUUAUCAGCUACACGUCUAUGAAGGUCGAGGCUUCACAGAUGUUGAGGUGGUCUCUAAGGUGGUGGACAGCGUGGAAUCGAAAAAAAACUAUAGCUGGCAGCCGACAACUUGUGGGCAUAAAAUCGAUUCAUAAUUUCAACAUCCAACAAUGCUUUACAUUGCAAGAUUUCUUCAUUUUUAUCCCAACGUACACCCACUUUCUUGCACAAGGUGGUGAUCAAUGAUGGAUACCAAAGUCUAUCACACAGCAAGCGGUUAGCUUGAACAAUACUGUUGAAUAUCAAUUGGCCCACAUUGAUUGACAUUCUAGAAAUAAUGGCAUAUAACAAGAUAGCUCAAUCCCUUGUGAUGUCACUAAUAUGUUUCACAGGAAGUAAUCUAGUAAACAAAAAGUGAUACCAUAGCUUAUGAACUGUCUUCAUGGUACUAGCCUUAAAAGACACAGGUAUGCCUUUUGUCAUUUUCCAUUCCCCCCCUCAUCACAAAGUACACCAAGAACCCCAUCCAAAUCAAUGUUGCCCGUUAAGAACUGGCCAUAGUCAUCAUGUUCAAUAUCAAGUUAUAAAAUUGAUUGAUGGUGGCAUUAUCAAAACGAACUUGAUAGCCUCGUACAAACACUUGGCCAUGAACAUGUUUAGCGGCAUUGGCGUAGAAUAUUAUAAACCCUUGGUAAGACAGCGGCCUUAGGUUGGUCACAAAAUUUCUCCCAUUGCCACCUAGUGAUGACCUUAUGAACAAAACUAUAUAGCUCAAGAUUGAGAUCAAUGCCACUUUCCUGAAUAAGGACUUUAUGCACAAGGAAUUGCAUAUGUCUCUCAAUGGCAUCAGUAGACACAAAUUUACUGUGAUCAAAUCGAGUCUUACUACCACUCUUGUGAGUUCUUUUCUUUGGUGCCAUCCCGCUCACGCAAAUAGAAAAUACUUCCUCCUAAAACAAGCCACCACAAUCCAAGUAAAUUACCCAUUCAAUUAUAUUUUAUUAUUAGGAAACAAAAACAACACCUCCCACAAGUUCUAUGCCCUGUCAAAUAUUGAUAGUCAUCCUUCAUCCUCAACAACAAUGAAAUGCAGCACAAAUUGAUUAGAAAGAAAAAAAAAUCCAACACAUCUAGUUUAAACUAGCAUUACUUCAAGCAACCCAUUCCUAACUAACAAAUUGACAAAAGAAGGGAAAAAUUAACUUACUUGGUUGAAGAAUACAGAAAAUGUGGAGAAUGAAUGGAAGGACAACCUUACUCUUCACAAAAAAAAAUUGGUGAAAUUUAAAAAUACUGGGUGGGUGUAAAGUGGGUGGAAAGGGAAGGAAGAAAUCUAAAGGUUAGAGAGAAAAGGGAGCCCUAAAAUAUGAAGAAAGGGUGAGAGAAAGGAAAAUCAGGGUUUUUCUUUAAAGCCCCGUGACAUAGUGCCGUGACGCUCCUUUCUGGCAUCGUAAUGGCCUUUUCUUGAGUUUUUGUACAAGAGGGGGCCUGAUGCACUACAACUUGGCGUUGGGUUCAUGGCUCUGCAACGUCAUUUUUUUUAAUUUACUUACCUCAUGAGAGUCCAUAGCUACAACAAUCGAAUAAAUAACAAUCAAUUAACGAGGAAGGAAAUAUAAAAUUGACACAUUAAAAUUUCAAAUUGACUCGAAUUAAAAAAAUACUAAGAUAAAUGAUGUUGAGAAACUUGAGGUGCCUCCUAAGAAGCACUUCGUUUAGGGUCAUUGCUAGAUCAAUGUGGAGUUCAUUUGGUGUCAAAGAGAUGGAUGGACGAUCAGUGUUGAUCAAUAAGUCCACCUAGUAGUGCUUUAAUCGUUGUCCAUUCACCUUGAACAUCUCAUUGGUCAACCCAUCAAUUAUUUCCAUUGCUGCAUGUGGAAACACUUUUGACAUAUUAAAAGGUUUGAACCAUCUUGAUUCCAAUUUUCCUAGAAAUAACUUCAAUCGUGAAUUAAACACCAAAACUUGCUGACUUGGCUCAAAAUGGCACUCGAUAAUCUUUUGAUCAUGCCAUCUCUUCGUCUUUUUCUUUUACAAUUUGGCAUUCUCAUAAGCAUUUAAGCAAAUUUCAUCCAUCUAAUUUAAUUAAAGCAAUCUUUUCUCACCUGCUGCUUUUAAAUCGAAAUUUAAUUUCUUGAUGGCCCAAAAUGCACUAUGCUCUAAUUCAACUGGGAGUGACACGCUUUUCCAAACACAAACUAAUAUGGGGACAUACCUAUUGGAGUUUUGUAAGUUGUCCAAUACGCCCACAAUGCAUCAUCAAGUCUACUAGCUCAGUCUUUUUGUGACAAUGAUACCAUUUUCUCAAGAAUUCUUUUGAUUUCCUAAUUUGAUACUUCCACUUGUCUGCUCGUCUGAGGGUGAUAAGUUGUGGUUACCUUGUGUGACACUCCAUACUUUAUGAGUAACGUUGUAAAAUAUUUAUUGCAAAAAUGACUUCUUCAUCACUCAAUAGCUCUUGGUGUAUCAAAUUUGGUGAAAAUGUUUGUCUUUAAAAAUUUCAUCACCACCUUAAUAAUGUUUGUAGGGAAGACUGAGGCUUCUACCCAUUUUGACACAUAAUAGACAGCCACCUAAAUGUAUCGAUUGUUGAAUGACGAUAUGAAUGGUCCCAUGAAAUUGAUUCCCAAACAUAAAAAAUUUCCACUUCCAAAAUGCUGUUAAGCGAGAUUUCAUGUCUUCUGAAAAUGUUUCCCAUUCUUUGACAUCUGUCACAAUGCAACAUAAAGUUAUGAGCGUUUUUGAAUAAUGUUGGCCAAUACAAACCUUAUUGAAGAACUUUGGCCGUUGUUCUAUCACCUCCAAAAUGACCCCCAUUUUUAUAUGAGUGACAAUGUCUCGACACAUUUUCAACUUCUUCCUCUGGAAUACACCUUCUUAUAAUUCUGUUAGCACAUUUCUUCAACAAAAAUGGUUCAUCCCAUAGAUAAAAUUUAACAUCAUGCAAAAAUUUCUUUUUUUGAUGAAAAGUUAAAUUUAGAGGUAGAAGCUUACUCACAAUGAAGUUGACAUAGUCAACAUACCAUGGUAAUUUCUUAUGACCAACAUGUAACAAUUGUUCAUCAGGGAAAGUUUCGUUGAUCAAAGUCACAUCUUUACCUUGGUUGUCAUGCUCUAGCACAAAUAGUUGGCUACUUGAUUUUCUGAACCUUUUAUGUCUCUGAUUUCUAAAUCAAAUUCUUAUAACAGCAGAACCCAUCUUAUUAACCUUGGCUUGGCAUCUUUUUUAGCAAUCAAAUACUUAAUUGCAUAAUGGUUAGUAUAAACAAUAACUUUAGUGCUAAUCAAAUAUGAGCAAAAUUUGUCAAAUGCAUACACAAUAGCUAAUAAUUCUAUCUUAGUGGUAAUGUAGUGCAUUAGAGUUUCAAUCAAGGUUUUACUUGCAUAAUAUAUAGAAUGAAAAAUUUUAUUCUUUCUCUAUCCUAACACUGCACCUACAACCUUGUCACUAGCAUCACAAAUAAGUUCAAAUAAGAGUGACCAAUCAGGAACUACAAUAAUAGGUGUAAUUGUCAACCUUUUUUCAGUUUCUAUAAAUGUAGCAUGACAUGCAUCAUCAAAUUUAAAUGGGAUGUCUUCUUCUAAAAGAUUGCACAAAGGUUUAGCAAUUUUGGAAAAAUCCUUAAUGAAUCGUCAAUAAAAACCAACAUGUCCAAGGAAACUCUAAGUAUCUUUUACCAAGGUUGGUGGUGGACGCUUUUCAAUGGUCUCAAUCUUAGCUUUGUCUACCUCUAAUCCUUUGCUCGACACCUUGUGACCAAGAACAAUGCCUUCUUGUACCAUAAAAUGGCACUUCUCCCAAUUUAAAACUAGGAUCGUCUCCUCACAUCUUUGCAAUACCCUAUCUAGAUUGAGCAAACAUUCAUCAAAAUUAUUGCCAAAGACAGAGAAAUCAUCCAUAAAUGCCUUUAUGGUUUUCUCCACCAUAUCCUAGAAGAUAAACAUCAUGCAUUGUUGAAACGUGACCAAAGCAUUACACAAUCUAAAUGGCAUCCUUUUAAAUGCAAAAACACCAUAAGGAUAUGUGAAAGUUGUUUUCUCUUGAUCUUUUGGUGCUAUGGAAAUUUGAUUAUAACUUGAGUAUCCAUCCAAGAAACAGUAAUACUCUCUUCUAGCUAACCUUUCCAACAUUUAGUUAAUGAAAGAUAAAGGAAAAUGAUAUUUCCUUGUGACCUUGUUUAGCUUUCUGUAAUCCACGCAUACUCUCUAUCCCAUGACUAUUCGUUUGGGAAUGAGCUCAUUGUUUUCGUUAGCCACCACUAUCAUCCCACCUUUUUUUGGUACGCAUUACACCAAGCUUACCCAUUCACAAUCUAAAAUAGGAUAAAUGAUGCCAGCAUCUAAGCCACUUGAUUAUUUCUUUCUUGACUACUUCUUUCAUAAUUAGAUUCAAUCUCAUCGAUGCUCAAUAGUGGCUUUGUGAUUAUCCUCUAACAAAAUUUUAUGCAUGCAUAUUGAAGGACUUAUCCCCUUGAUAUCAACUAUUGACCACCCCAAUGCCUUUUUUGUCCUCUUUCAAAACUCUAAGUAACUUUUCUUCCUGUUUAUUAUUAAGAUCAGAUGCAACAAUAAUUGGAAGAGUACAUGAGUUUCCAAGAUAUGCAUACCUCCAAUGUUUUGGCAAUGGCUUCAGUUCUAACUCAGGGGGAUCCUCAAUUAAAGGUUUCACUGGUGAGGAUGAAUAUGAAGACAAAUCUAACAGUUCAAACCGAGUUCCCAAUAACAGAGACAGGGCAUUCAAUGCAUUAACACAUUUUAUAAUUUCUUCAUUACUAGUCUCAAUUUAGAAAUCAAUGAUGCUUCAAGUAAGUCAUUAGGAUGAUUUUCCAUAAAGACUUCACUUGUGGCCCUAUCUACCACAGUAAUUGCAAAACACUCAUCAUGAUCAUUAAUGAACUUUAAAGCACAAAAGAUAUUCAAUGUUACCUCUUGAUCUUAUAGUUGCAAGGUAAGUUCUCCCUUUUCAACUUCAAUGAGUUCUCUGGCUGUGCGUAAAAAAGGUCUCCCAAGGAUAACAAGAACCUCUUUAUCUUCCUUCAUAUCAAGAACUAUAAAAUCAGUUGGGAUAUGAAUUUAUCCACUUUCACAAGCACAUCUUCCACUAUGCCUCUUGGAUAUAUGAGAGUUCUAUCUAUUAAUUGAAGAGUUAUAAUGGUGGGCUUGAUUUCCCCCAAACCCAAAUUGUUGUAGAUUAACAAUGGCAUCAAAUUAAUACUCGCCCCUAAAUCACUUAAAACCUUAGCAAAGAAUAAGGCACCAAUUGUACAUGGAACAGUAAAACUGUCUAGGUCUUUAAGUUUUUGAGGAAGCUUAUUCUAAAUGAUUGCACUACGCUCCUCAAUGAGUGCUACUGUCUUAAACUCACCCAAUCUCCUUUUCUUGGAUAAAAUGUCCUUCAGAAAUUUUACAUAGGAUGGCAUUUGCUCUAGUGCCUCUGUAAAUGGAAUGGUGAUGUGAAGCUUUUUAAAUAAGUUCAUAAAUUUCUAAAACUUUCUUUUUAUUGCUUCUUAAAAUGUUGAGGAAAAGGUGGUGUUGGUGCAGUUGCCUUAGUCACUUCUAUUAGACAUUGAUCACUAGACCUUGAAAUUUGAGUCUUAUUCUCCCCAAUUUUGUCUUGUUGUGCAACUUCUUAUGGUUUACUUUCAACUUCCUUUCCACUUCUUAAAUUGAUGGCCUUGACAUGCUUUUUUCCCUCUCUCCUCGGAUUGGCCUCUAUAUCACUAGGUAAUGUUCCUUGAGCUUGGUUGUGCAAUAAAUUGGUAAGUUGACCAACUUGAGUCUUAAGGUUUCGAAGUGAGGCUGCUUGAUUUUGGAUGAUAGUUGUUUGACUUUGUAUGUUGCCAUCAUUUUGUGUCAUAUAUUGCCUUAACAAAUCUUCAAUAGUUGGCUUCUUUUAUGAAAGAGGUGCUUUGACUUGCUAUUGGAAUCUCAGAGGUGCAUUCGGCCAUGAAGUUGAUGACACCCCUUGAUUGUGAGCCCAAGAGAUAUUUGGAUGAUUCCUCCACCUUGGGUUGCAAGUGUUAGAGUAAAGGUUAUUUUGCUAUCUCUUCCCCAUAAAUUGCAUUGUUUUUGUUGAGGUUGGACACUAAUGAGUGGCAUGAUUAUCUCCAUAAUACUCAUAAGCUAUAAAAGGACUUUGCACAAAGUUAGUACUAAAAGAUUUAAGAGUUGUAGUUAGAGUUGUUAUCUGAGCAAAUAGUGCUGACAUGGCAUCUACAUCAUGAAUUCCAACUACUCUCUUAUGCAUUGAUUGUUCCAUUGGCCAUGUUUGCAAAUAUCUCUUCUAAUAAAUCAUAUGUCUUAUUUAUCGAUUCAGUCAUUAAAGCUCCUUUCACAACAGCACCAAUAAUGGUUUGGACCUGCCCACUCAAACCAUUGUAAAAAGUUUGCACCUAAAGCCACUUUGGAAAACCAUGAUGAAGACAACGCCGAAGUAAUUCUUUAUAUCUUUCUCAAGCUUCGAACAACUAUUUAGAAUCUUGCUACAUAAAUGAUGUAAUAUCAUUCCUAAUUUUUGCUAUCUUAGUUGGAGGAAAAAACUUGGCAAGGAACUUCUAAACAAGAUCAUCCCAUUUUGUUAUUAAGCCAGUGGGGAGUGCAUUCAGCCAUGCUUUAACGUUAUCCCUCAAUGAGAAAGGAAAAAGACUCAAACAAAUUGUAUCAUCUGUGACACUAUUCUAUUUGAAAGUGUCACUAAUCUCCAAGAAGUUUGAUAUAUGGCCAUUUGGAUUAUCAUUUGGAAGGCCCCUAAAUUGGACUGAGGUUUGAAUCAUGGUGAUGAUAGCUGACUUGAUCUCAAAAUUGUUUGCUUGAAUAGUUGGCCUUCAAAUGCUCGAUGGAAUUUCAUGUACCAACGGAGCAACAUUGUCACGACCUAAAUUUUCGGGCCAUGAUCUACGCAAGAGCCCAAUAAACGUAGCCUAUUAAGCCCAAGCAAGCCUAUCUAUUUAUUCUACUCAUCAUUCCAUCAAAUAUCACUAAGUCAUAUUUCAUACUUUUGAAUCAAAAUAGUGAUAUACAUUGCCAACUCGUACUGGCAUUACUCCUUAAAAAUUUACAUACAAUGUCUACAACAUGUAUUCUAAUAAUUUACAUUAAGUUUGUCUAUACAAAACAAAAUAACACUCGACUUCCAGNNNNNNNNNNNNNNNNNNNNNNNNNNNNNNNNNNNNNNNNNNNNNNNNNNNNNNNNNNNNNNNNNNNNNNNNNNNNNNNNNNNNNNNNNNNNNNNNNNNNNNNNNNNNNNNNNNNNNNNNNNNNNNNNNNNNNNNNNNNNNNNNNNNNNNNNNNNNNNNNNNNNNNNNNNNNNNNNNNNNNNNNNNNNNNNNNNNNNNNNNNNNNNNNNNNNNNNNNNNNNNNNNNNNNNNNNNNNNNNNNNNNNNNNNNNNNNNNNNNNNNNNNNNNNNNNNNNNNNNNNNNNNNNNNNNNNNNNNNNNNNNNNNNNNNNNNNNNNNNNNNNNNNNNNNNNNNNNNNNNNNNNNNNNNNNNNNNNNNNNNNNNNNNNNNNNNNNNNNNNNNNNNNNNNNNNNNNNNNNNNNNNNNNNNNNNNNNNNNNNNNNNNNNNNNNNNNNNNNNNNNNNNNNNNNNNNNNNNNNNNNNNNNNNNNNNNNNNNNNNNNNNNNNNNNNNNNNNNNNNNNNNNNNNNNNNNNNNNNNNNNNNNNNNNNNNNNNNNNNNNNNNNNNNNNNNNNNNNNNNNNNNNNNNNNNNNNNNNNNNNNNNNNNNNNNNNNNNNNNNNNNNNNNNNNNNNNNNNNNNNNNNNNNNNNNNNNNNNNNNNNNNNNNNNNNNNNNNNNNNNNNNNNNNNNNNNNNNNNNNNNNNNNNNNNNNNNNNNNNNNNNNNNNNNNNNNNNNNNNNNNNNNNNNNNNNNNNNNNNNNNNNNNNNNNNNNNNNNNNNNNNNNNNNNNNNNNNNNNNNNNNNNNNNNNNNNNNNNNNNNNNNNNNNNNNNNNNNNNNNNNNNNNNNNNNNNNNNNNNNNNNNNNNNNNNNNNNNNNNNNNNNNNNNNNNNNNNNNNNNNNNNNNNNNNNNNNNNNNNNNNNNNNNNNNNNNNNNNNNNNNNNNNNNNNNNNNNNNNNNNNNNNNNNNNNNNNNNNNNNNNNNNNNNNNNNNNNNNNNNNNNNNNNNNNNNNNNNNNNNNNNNNNNNNNNNNNNNNNNNNNNNNNNNNNNNNNNNNNNNNNNNNNNNNNNNNNNNNNNNNNNNNNNNNNNNNNNNNNNNNNNNNNNNNNNNNNNNNNNNNNNNNNNNNNNNNNNNNNNNNNNNNNNNNNNNNNNNNNNNNNNNNNNNNNNNNNNNNNNNNNNNNNNNNNNNNNNNNNNNNNNNNNNNNNNNNNNNNNNNNNNNNNNNNNNNNNNNNNNNNNNNNNNNNNNNNNNNNNNNNNNNNNNNNNNNNNNNNNNNNNNNNNNNNNNNNNNNNNNNNNNNNNNNNNNNNNNNNNNNNGCUUCCUUAAAACCUAGGAUCACAUUAACAUAAACAAUAGAUCAAUUUACACACUAUGACCCCUAAAAGCUAUCUCUAAACUAGCUUUCAAUUGCCACAUUAAAUGGCCAUCUAUGUUCACUAUCUUAAUCACUAAAAGUAAUGAACAUAAUCAAUAAUAAAACAGCUCAUAAAUCCCAAUUACUAGCCAUUUUCUGCAGCUAAAAACCAAGCUUAAUUCAUCACUUACCCUAAGGCUCCUUUGUAGUCAAAUUCUCUUCUAAUUGCUUCCAAAUCAGUGGGGUAAUUCUCUCUUUCUCUCUCUAAAAUGCCCAACUAGUGAGAGAAAGCAUGAAAACCAUAUUUUUGAAGGGUUUUAAAGUGAGAGGAUGAAAGAGCAUAAGGGUUUAUGGAAGAGUACACCAAAAGCAUGAAAUUUGGAGCUAGAAAGAGAAAGUUAUGGAAGCUUGAAGAAAACUCCCAUGGAAGAAUUGAAGAAACGUGAGAGAGGAGAAGGGAAGAAGAAGACAGCUGUUGGAAAUUUCAAGAAGCUGCUGGAAAUUCAAGAUAUUUAUAGGCCAAAUUUAUCCAUUCCCAUAAAAUUACCAAUUUGCCCUUUCACCAAUUAACUUACUCUCCUCCAAUCUUUUAUGAAAUCUUUUUGCUCCUUUAACACAGGGACAAAGUCCAUAAUUGUCUAGACAUGUUCAAGUUCAUAAAAACUUAAAAUUUUAACCCGAGGUGAAAAAUGACCAUUUUGCCCCUACCAUGAAAAUCGUCAAAAUUUUGGUUUCCUUUCCAUUUUACCCCUAAUUUCACCAUCCAUUUAUGCCUUAAGCCUACUUAGGCCAUAAUAUUGUUUAAAACUUACUUUUGGGAGCUUAUUAGAGAAAAUGACGAAACUACCCUUGGCUCGUAUUAUUACAUCUAUGCUUGGUUACAAGCCUAUAGAGGUUGGGGUCUCACAAACAUAAUCCCCUAACCAAUGAUUUUCAGCUACUAUGCGCACUUGGAUUUGCUGUUCACCUUGUUGAUCAGCCAUUGUAUUUAUUGGAGCAACACCUUGUUGAUUGUUAUGUCGAAGUCUACGAAAUGUUCUCUUAAUUUCUAGAUCACACGGCAUAGUCUUCAAGUUGUUUGCUCUUUUCAUACAACGACUGAACACUUACAAAACAAAGAAAUAAAACUUAAAGUAAGACUAAUAUGUGAAAUUUUAAUAUUAACAAAUAAUAAAAAAACAAAAUCCCUAACAACAGUGCCAAAAACUUGUUGUAAGUUUGCACAUGUAAGUAUACAUAUCGAACAAGUAAUAUAGACAAAAAGUCCAAAUUAUCGUUCCCACGAGGAUUUGUUUCUAAAGUUUCACUAAGUACUAAAAUUAUAUAACAAAUUAAUCUUAUUUAAGCUAAUUGAUAAUUGAAAAACUAAUCAAAGACAAUCAAAACUAAAUAAUAAGUUAACCAGCAAAAACUAAAUAUGUUGAGAAAAGUAGCAGAUUAAAGACAUAGGAUCAUUGGUUUAUUCAAUAUUUCAUCUUAUACUAGCUUUUCUUGUUAUUGAUCUUUUUUUGGUGAUUUUACUAAUCUAGAAUCCAAAGGUAUGGACAAAUCUCCAUCGAGAUGCUUGUACAAAUACCUAACUUAAUCAGUUCACUAUAUGUCUAUAGGAAUCAAUUAAAUUAAGUUCAUUAAGCAAGUGUCCUAAUUUAGCUAUGUAUGGCAAUUGGCAUAUAUCUACCCGAAUCGCAAAUCAGAUCGCCAAAGUGAUGUGAACAUACACUAUUCAAAUCUUAGUCCAACCUAAAAUCUCAAUGUCGGUUUCUAAUUAGAUUCAUGAAUCAAUUAAUUGUUAAUUAGGCAAUUCAAGGCAUUAAGAAUAUAUUUGAAUAAGUAAAACAAUACCCAUUCAUGAUAAAUAACAAAAAAAAAAAACAAGUAUUCAGACUACAUGUUGAAAUCCACCAUAAUACUAGAUAACCAAAUUAUUUCAUAAUAUCUAGAUAAAACACUAUCCAAAGAAAUUUAGCCAUGAAUUUAAAACAAAAAAAAAAAAGAAACAUAAAAAGAGAGAAAUAAACUAAUGUUGAACCCUGGCUGAUUACGAAACUCUCUCAAUUGCUCUUGAAUUCUUGAUUGAUUAGUAUCUCCAAUUCUCUAAAAAAGCUGUUGUUGUCUCUCUCUUUGAAUACUCUCAAAAAACCUCAUAAAUAUGUGCAAGAUGCCCUACUUUCCAAUUUUCGAUCAAAAUUUUAAUUUUAGAAGUCAGAGUGGUACUGCGGCCAUGACUUCUUGGCACCGCGGCACUAUGACAAGCUUUGGUAGCACCACGACACUCCUUUUUGGUUCUGCGACGCCAUGCUAUCAACCUUCAGUAUGAUGCACCCAUCCAGCCCAACACCAUGAUCAUAAGCUUCUAACAAUGCGGGGUGGUCCUUUCAGCAUCACUGCCUUGAGUAACUCAGCAUCACAGCCUCAAGCACCAUGUUACCUUAUGUGCAGUCUGCAAUUGCCUAUCAUCUUCAAAUGUGAUUUUCACCUCUAUCUAUUCUAAACUUUGCAAAGUGGUAAACAUAAAAUUAUAUCCCAUUCCCUUAACUUUAAAUUACGACAUGUACGUGUGACACGUUCACCAUACUUAUGCUAUCAUAACUCAAUUUCACCUUGCUCAUCACAUAUCCUGGACAAAAACCAUGAAAGAAUUGCAUUAACUCUUCUUAAAGUAAAUUAAAAACAAAAUAAAGUAAAAUUAAACUAAAAUAACUUAAUUUAACUAUUCAACAUGUAAUCUAACUUACAUUAGAAAAACACUUAAAAUGCUAAAAUCUGAACCUAAAACUCUAAGGUCUAGCUACUAAAGCCCCCAAAAUGUGUUAAAAAUAACUAUAUAUAAUAGAGUUAUCAAUUUGAAAAUUGUGAUUCUGAAAUAUUUUGCAAUGAAAAUUGUUUUGAUCAAAAUUUUUGAGCCUUAAAACUCCACAACAUAAUGGAGUUGUUAAAAAAAUGGGCCUUUGAAGAAAAUGGCAAGAACAAUGCUUUGUGAAAACAAUUUGCCAAAAUAUUUUAUGGCUAAAGCUGUAAAUACAGCUUUUUUAUUUUAAAUAAACCAAUGAUUUCAAAAACUCUUUAUGAGCUUUACAAAGGAAGAAAACCAAACAUUGCACAUUUAAGGAAUUUUGGAUGCAAAUGCUUUAUUUUAAAUAAUGAAAACACACCUUGGGAAAGUUUGAUGUUAAGAGUGAUGAAGUUGUUUUCUUAGGUUAUGCAAUAAACUCUAAACCUUAUAAAUUGUUUAACAAAAAAACAUUAGUUGUAGAAGAAUUUAUUCAUGUUGUUUUUUAUGAGACUAAUGUUGCACUAAGAAAAGUAAUGCGUGAUGAUGAUGCAAAUGUUAUUGAGGAGAAAAUGGAAAAGAUGAACUUGGAGAACAAAGAAGAUGAUGAAGACAACUCCAAAAAAUGAAAUGAAGAAAAACCACCAUUGAAGGACUUGUAAAGAAUUGAAGAAUAGUAUAAUGAUCUUCUUAGAACUUAAAAAUUUGUAUGAAAUCAUCCUUAAGAGAAAAUAAUUAAAGAUCCCUUUGAAGGUGUCAAAACCAAAAGAGGACUAAAAGAAGCUUGUGAAUUUGUGGCAUAUAUAUCACACAUGGAACCCCAAGGAUUUUGAGGAAGCAAAAAAGGAAGAGAGUUGGAUGAUAACCAUGCAAGAAGAACUUGGCCAAUCUGAAAGGAACAAGGUAAGGUUAGUUGCUCAAGGUUACAGUCAAGAGAAAGGUAUUGAUUACAAUGAAACUUUUGCUCCUGUAGCUAGAUUAGAAGCAACUAUAUUUUUGCUUGCAUAUGCAUGUUACAUGAAUUUCAAAUUGUUCCAAAUAAAUGUUAAAAAUGCAUUUCUAAAUUAUCUUAUCCAAUAAGAGGUAUAUGUGAAACAGCCCCCUAGUUUUGGUGAUUUUGAGGAGAUUGAUCAAUUUUAUUAAUUGUAUAAAGCAUUACAUGGAUUGAAGUGAGCUCUUAAAGCUGGGUAUGAAAGACAUUGAAAAAAUUUGACUGAAAAAGGAUUUUUUUAAAAGGAGUGUAGAUACUACACUUUUUAUUAAGAAAAGCAAAAAUGAUUUACUUGUUCAAAUAUAUGUGAAUGAUAUAGUCUUCAGUGCUAUUAAUGAAAAGUUGUGUGAGAAUUUUGCUAAAGAAAUGCAGGGUGAGUUUUAAAUGCACAUGAUAGGAGAAUUAUGUUUCUUCCUUGGUCAACAAAUCAAGCAAUGUGAGAAUGAGAUGUUAAUCAACCAAGCUAAAUACACUAAGGAGAUGCUGAAAAAGUUUGGUAUGAUGAAUGUGAAAUUAGUUAGAACACCUAUGAUCUCCUCUACAAAGCUUGAUAGAAAUGAGAAAGGAAAUGAUGUGGACCAAAAACUCUAUAAAGGUAUGAUUGGUUCACUUUUUUAUUUAACAGAAAGUCCUGAUAUAUUGUUUAGUAUGUGCUUAUGUGCAAGAUUUCAAUCAUGUCCUAAAGAUCACGCUUAACUAUUGUAAAAAGGAUAUUUAAAUACCUCUUGGAUACCCAAGACUUAGGUUUAUUGUAUCUAAAAAAUGUCAUCUUUUGAACUUUUUGGCUGUUUCGAUAUUGAUUUUGCUAGCAGCGAAGUAGAUCAGAAUAGUACUAAUUGUACUUGUCAAUUUCUUGGAACCAUGCUUAUAUCUUUAUCUUGUAAGAAACAAAAUUCAGUUGCUCUUUCAAGUACUGAAGUUGAAUAUAUUUGAGUAGGUAGUUGUUGCGCACAAAUUUUAAGGAUUAGGAAAUAAUUAAAUGACUUUGGCAUGUUCAUGCAUAAUAUUCCUAUCUUUUGUAACAAUACUAGUGCCAUUAACAUCUCAAAUAUUCUUGUUUAAAACUAAGCAUAUUGAGAUUAGACAUCACUUUAUUAAAGAUCAUAUGCUUAAAGGAGAUGUUAAAAUUGAAUUUGUUCAUACCUUGCAUCAAUUAGCUUAUAUUUUCACCAAAACCUUGAGUGAAGACCAAUUUUGUAAAUUUAAAAGAGAAUUAGGAAUGCUUGAUGAGCAUGAACUUGGAUUGAAUUGCUUUGAAUAUGUUUUUAAUGAAUUCUCAUAUCUAUUGUGUAUUAAUUUCUUAUUCUGAUCAAUUAAAAGUGGCUUUUCAGUACUUACGAGAGCUUAACUGAUUAAAAUCAUGUUUUCAUCAAUUAAACUUGUUCUAGAAUAAAGGAUGUUCCAUUUAAUCAAUUAAAAAGUCUUUUAAUUGAUUAAUUUGUUUCUGGUCAAAAGUGGAUUUGGAACUCAAAACCUGUCCAUUUUGGCUUUAGAGCACUCAAAAGUCGACUAAAUAUCCAUGGAUUCCACUUUUUAUCAUUCCAAUAACAUUGUUUGAAUUUUGUUCUCCAAUAGGCGACUAGCUAUGAUAAAGAGUCAAUUAUGCUUGAUUCUUGCAUAUUGAAAAGCCAGAAAAAGGUGCAAAACAUGCAAUGUUCUAAGGCAUAAUGAUCUCAAAACAUGGAUUUGUGUGAGAAUAAUUUAGAAUUUCAUUUCAACCAUAUUUAGAACAUCAUUUUGGACAUGUAUAAUCAAAGAUUCUUCAAGAAAAAACAUGUGAACUCAAAUUUUGGCUUAUAUUGUUCAUUGUUCACAAAUGCUAAAAAGUUGAAAUGCUCAUUUGAAGAAUCAUGUCUCUAAUAUGCUCAAACAUAUUCAAUUUACAUCAUGAUGCGUGACUAUGGCUUAUAACAUGUACAAAAAUCAUUUAAACAAUGUUUAAGCAUAAUUAGCAUCAAAUUUAACAUUUUUAACAAUUUUCCGGCAUAUGAACAAAAAUGCCCUUGUGGUUGUUCAAGCACUCCUUUGCAACAAGAACAAGACAUAAUGGCACUUUCAAUAUAAAGCAUUCUUGUUCAAGCUUUAUAUCAUUGAAAUCAUUGUAGCCUCAAGCAUUACAAGAAGGUUUGUACUUUGCUUAAAAUAUCAUCAAUGUCAAAUUAUCAUACUCAUGAUUAUACUUAAGAAAACUCUUUCAAUCUAUUUUAUAAAUCAUGAGAGAAAUAUCAAGCAAAAUGGGAUUUAUGCAAUUCAUGUAUCAAAUCAAUUUUGCUCAACCAUGCUAUAUCAUCAAAAACAAUAAAUCAAUUUCAAUCAAAGAAAAUGAAAAGAUUUUGCAAGAAAAUCAAUUGAUAAAGGUUUAAUCUUUCGUUACAAACUUUUCAACUUGAAACGUUCAAGAUUAAACAUGCUUUGUGAAAAAUCAUGAGCUCAAUAUCACUCAAUUUUGUUCAUUUACGCUUGAAAUGAUUUAUGAAAUGUGUAAUAAGCAUAAUGAAUCAUGUUUAUGCAUGUCAAGGGUCAUUUGCAAAUAUCUCACAAUUAUUUUCCAAAAAUGCCCUUAUGACCAUUCAAGUUUACAAGCAAGCAUGCACAUCCAAUAAGAACAAGUAAUAAGUAUUUUCAUUAUGAAACAAACUUAUUCAAUUCAUAAAUCAUUCUAAACUUAAAGGAUGGCAACAUUUUUCUCAUAUAAGCUCAUUUUGCUUUAAAAGUACCAAUCAAAGUAGUCAAAACUUUCAAGCUCAUUAUCAACCAUCUUGAAGCAAGUUCUAGAAUGUAGAUCAAGAUUGUUCAAAUGGUCAACUUAUGUUAGGCACAAGAAAAUCAAGGACAAUUUUUCAACUCAAUUUUCCAUGUUUUAGGCUACUUGAAUAGGUGUGAGUGUAAGUCAUCACGUAUGCUCAUAUUUUUAUCACAUUAUGCAACCUUUUAGGUUUCAAAAUUAUGCUCAAAAAUCAUUUUUCCUCAAAGAAGUAGUAUGGAAACAAUUUCACAAAACAUGAGGAAAUUUUAUAGAAACAAUCUUCCAUAAUCAAGCAAUCUUGAUAAAACAAUUUUCUCAAAAUAAGAAUGAUAAUAUAUUCAAGUUCAAAUAUAAGUACAUACUCAAUCAUUAGAUUCUUACUUCCUUGCAACUUAUAGUAUGUAUCAUAUCAAAUCAAGUUGCAUAGCCAAGAUUUAUCAAUAAAGCUCAAAGAAUUAUGCACUUAAUAUUCAAGCAAGAAUAGGCAACCAAAGUUUUCAAUUAAGAAAAGCAAACCAUUUUAGAAAUCAAGCUAAAUCAAUGAAACAUUCAAUAAAUAAACAAUCAAAAUUCUCAUUUAAACAAACAAAAGGCUUUUAGCUUAGAGAUCACCCAUUUUCCUUUAUGUGUAACUAGAGAGCAUUCAUUCUUUAAGAAUUGUUCUUCCUUGCUCUAGCACACCUACAAGAGACAUUUUUCAUUUGAUUUUUGGUAUCCAAAUUGCUUUGGAUCCUUGAAAGUUAUUGUCACAGCCUAAAUUUUGAGCUAUGACUGGCGCAUGGGCCGAAUAGGCAUAGACCACUAAACCCAAGCAAGCCUAUUUAUACAAUCCCGAUCAUUAAUCCCAACCAUCAUUUCUAAAACCACAUAUUGCAAUUCUUAAUUAUAAAUAUUUCAAUAACGUUUUAUAGCAAUCCAAUAUUCACAUUUGUAUUAUGCUAACAUAGUAUCACUCAUUUGCCACCUUACAGUGGCAUCAGUAAUCAAAUAUACAUAUUUGAUUUUUAACAUGAAUCUUAGUGGUCUUCAUUACUUAUACAUGUAGACAAGCAUAAGACUCUUGACCGUUAGCGGAGUGACCAUGGAUGAAGGACAGCUACUGAGAUGCCAUAGUACUUACCAAAAGGAUGAGCAUAUGUAGACACUCAAUCUAGGUCCCAACUGUCUUCGAAUCUGAAAACAUGAAAUUUAAAAAUGUGAGUAUAAAACUCAGUGAGUGAACAUAAAAAGGGAACAAGCAAUCGAUAGGAAGAAUUUGGAAAUCACGAUGCACUUGUUUCAAAAACAAUGCAAUUGAUUUAAUUUCUUACUAGAACCCCUUCAUUUCAAACUUUGAUCAAUAACCUCAUAGUAUUGCAAAAACUCAUGAUCAAUCCAUGAAGUUAAAUGGGUGAAAAAUAUGUCAAAAUCAAGCAAGGUAGCAAGCAUGGCAGCAAAUUUCUCAUUAUAGCGAGAAAUAAUCUUAGUUUGCAUAUGUUUGAGUUUUUCUAUCAUAUCUCCCACUGCAAAAGUCCAAUUGACCUAAUUUUUCAACCAUUAGAAAUAUAAGAGGUAGGCCUACAACUUUGAUGUUUACUACUUUUCCCAUUUCGAAUGAGAAGGUAGUUAAAAUCUUCAUCAAAAUGAAAGCAUUGCAUCAAAACUUGAGAGUUUCUCGCUGCAAUGAGAUUUAUUCUCGCUGCAGCGAGAAUCAAGCCAGUGUGACCCCCAAAACUCGAGAGUUUCUUGUUGCAGCGAAAUUGAAUCUUGCUAUUUAUUCUCGCUGCAGUGAAAAUCAAGCCAGUGUGACCCCCAAAACUCGAGAGUUUCUCGCUGCAGAGAAAAUGAAUCUCGCUGCAGCGAGAAACAGAGCAUUUUAAUUGAAAUGGGUCUUGUUACAUCAAAAGCCAUUUUCUUGUUGAAAUGAAAAACAAUUUGAGAGCAAUUAACAAUGCCAACUUGGAGCACAAUCACAAAUAUUUUCAUAACUUUCUAUAACACACACAUAUAUAUACAUAUGCAUUCAUCAUCAUGUGUGCACUCCCUACUCACACACUUCAACAUCAUCAUGUGUGCACUCCCUACUCGCACACUCUAACAUCAUCAUGUGUGCACUCUCUACUCGCACACUUCAACAUCCUCACACAACAUUAUUCAUCAAUGCACAAUGUAUAUUCAUAUACAUACAUACUAGCAUAAUAUAAUAGCACAUGGAUUCAUCCUUUUACACAUUUCACAUUUUCACAACAUCAAAGCAUUUUAUCAAAGGCUUGUUCCCUGGCACAUAUUUUUAAACAAAGGUUGAAUAAAAUCAUUCAAAUGUUUCAUCCAAAUACAUUUACAUCUCCCAAAGCAAAUUUUGAAAUGCAAGUUCACUCAUCGGUCUUGUUGAUUCUUUUGCUUGACUCUAACCUCAACUAAUACUCCAAAUGGACAUGUGAGGCCUUGUUGUAACCUAUACAUACAAAACAUCACAACCAACCCAAAUUGGCAAUAAUAUUGUCAAGAACCAAAUUUCGGGCCAUGACCAACGCAUGGGCCCAAUGGAUGUAGUCCACUAAGCCCAAGCAAGCCUAUUAAUAUGACCUGUUCAUCAUUCCAUCAAAAUUUGCUAGGUCACAUUUCAUAACUUUGAAUCAAAAUAAUACUAAGCAUUGCCAACUCAUAGUGGCAUGCCAAUUAAAGUGUACAUAUAUUGUCUCAACAUAUAUUUUAAUAAUUUACAUUGGUUUAUCUAUACACAACAAAAGAGCACUUGACUUCCAGCGGAGAGACCUGGGCGACGUACAGCUAUUGAAUGUCGAGAUACCUACCAAAGAGACGAAUCACGAGGGCACCUCAACCUAGUUAUCGACUGCCUCUUGAUCCUGAAAACAUGAAGUUGAAAACGGUGAGUAUAAACUCAGUGAGUGAACAUAAGAAGGGAACAAGCAACGAGAAGGAAGGUUUAAAGAAAUCAUGAUGCAUUUAUUUUCAAAACAAUGCAAUUUAGUUUCAUUCUUAUUAAAAAACCCCUCGUUAAACCCUUAAAUGGUUAAUCCCUUUAAAUGGCUAAUCAUUCGAUAAUGAUGAAUCCAUACAUAACAAAGAAUUUGAAGAAUGAAAGCUUCAAUGAUAUACAAGCAAGUUAAAUGAAACGUUGGGUCCUCACUGUAGCAGAAAGGCAUUCUCGCUGCAGUGAAAUUUGAGCUCAAGUUAUUAACUGGACGAGGGUUUCUCUCUAAAAUUCCUCAUUUCAAACUUAAUUAGAUAAUCCCCUAAAUGUUGGGAGUCCAUGCUCAACUAUGGUGUAAAUGAAAUGGAAAAGUAUGGCAAAAACCAGCAAGAUAGCAUAUCGGACAGAACGUUUCUCGCUACAACGAGAUUCUUUCUUGCUGUAGCAAAAUUCAAGUGGCCAAAACAGAAUGUUUCUCGCUGCAGCGAAAUUCAAGUGGCCAAAACAGAAUGUUUUUCGCUGUAGUGAGAAGCUCUAGAAAUUUUCUCGCUGUGGAGAGAAUCAGGUCAGGCAGACCCCUCAAACUUGAGAGUUUCUUGCUGCAGCGAGAAUAAUUCUUGCUGCAGCGAGAAACAAGGCACCAAAGAAAAGUUUCCAUUCUCUCAAGAAUAAGGCCAUCUUGCUGAAAUGACAAAAUCAACAUGAAACACUUAAAAAUUCCCAAAGUUCAACAUGCCAAAUUUUCAUAUGCAUUACAAUCAUAUACCAUAUUCAUGAGCUUUUAUUUCAUAAACAUAUAUAUACAUAUAUACAUAGAAAAACACCAAUACCACCAUCGUCUCACCCAGCUCAUGUGCAUCCCCCCACAUUGUGCACAUAGCCGGGGUCAUCGUGUGCAUCCCCUCACAUCGUGCACAAUUAGUGUCAUCGUGUGCAUCCCCCCACAUCGUGCACACGGGCACUUUCAUCAUCCAACUCCCUCAACACCGUCAUCACCGGCAUGUGCAUUCCCCCACAUCGUGCACACGCACGGUCAUCAUUAUCACACAAUAUCAACCAUCAAUGCACAACAUAUAUAUAUAUAUAUAUAUAUAUAUCAACAUAAUGUAGUAGUACAAGAAUCCAUAAUAGCCAUAUGCCACAUAUAGAGACAAUUUAUCAAAGGCUCGUUCCUAAGGCACCCGUUUUUAAGAAAAGUUGGAUAAAAUCAUUCAAAGGUUUUGUGCAAAUACAUUCAAAUGCAAGUUCACUCACCGAUAUUUUGUUGAACCUUUAGUCGACUCUAACUUCCCUAAUAGUCCAAAUGGGGCGAUGGGGCUUCGUUGGAACCUAUCAUCACAUUAGCAUCACCAUUAUGUCAAUUCACAUACUUAUAAAUUCUAAAAGCUAUCUCUUAGCUAGCUUCCAAUUGCCAUUUAAAUGGCUAUCUAUUUUCACUAUCCUAAUCACUCCAAAGUGAAUGAACAACAGCAACAAUAAAACACUCACAAAUCUAACUACUAGACAUUCUCAACACUUAAAUAUCAAUUCUAAUUCACUACUCACUUUGGUAGCUUUGUAAUUGAAAUUCUUUCCAAAAAAUUUCAAGCUAUCAUUGAAGCUCCCUCUUUUUGUCUUUAAAACACCUAGCUAGUGAGAGAAAGUAUGGAAGUAAGACUUAUCAAGGGUUUUAAAGUGAGAGAGUGAAAAAACACAUAGGUUCUAUGAAAGGGUGCACAAAAGCAUGAAAAUUGGAGCUAGUUUGAGAAAGGUUAUGGAGGUUUCAUAUCAAGCUUCCAUGGAGGAUGAAGAAACGUGAGAAGGAAGAAGGAAGGAGAAGAAGAAGCUGCUGAAAAUGUGAAAAGAAGCUGUUAGAAGCUGAUAUUUAUAACUCAAGCUUAUCCAACUUCACUUAAAUUACGAAAAUGCCCUUAACAAGCUAGCUUAUUCUUCUCCAAUCCUUUGUGCAAUCUUUUUACUCUUUUGACACUGAGGCCAGGUCCACAAGGGUCUAAAAAUACUCGAGUUUACAAAAACUUAAAAUUUUGACCCAAGAUGAAAAAUGACCAUUUUGCCCCUACCUCGAGAAUCAUCAUUAUUUUUAUUUCCUUCACCAUUUUACCCGUAUUUCAUCAUUCAUUUAUGCCUUGGGCCUACUUAGGCCAUAAUAUUGUUUAAAAACUUACUUUUAGGGACUUACUAAGGAAAUGACGAAACUACCCCUAGCUCGUGUUAUUGCGUCAUGCCUAGUUACGAGCUUAUAAAGGUCGAGGUCUCAUAAAUAUAAUCCAAAAGCUCUUUUCUAAUCAAGUUCCACUAGUUAUUCCUAACGAGCUUCCAAUUGCCAUUAAAUGGCUAGUUAUUCACACUACUUUAGUCACCCUAAGAGUGAAUAAACAACCUCAAUGAUAAACACUCACAAACCCUAUUGGUAGCCAUUAUCAACAACUAAAGAAAUUUAACCAUAACUUAUACUCACCUUGAUGGUCUUUGUAGUUGAAUUCUCUUUCAAAAUUCUUCAAGCUAACAAGGGAAAUCACUCUCUCUCUCUCUACAUGUCCAACUAGUGAGAAGAAAAUGGAAGUAAGACUUUUUUAAGGGUUUUAAGGUGAGAGAGUGAAAGAGCACAAAAGGUUCUAUGAAAAAGUGCUCAAAAGCAUGAAAUUGAAGCUAGAGAGAGAAAGUUAUGGAAGCUUUAAGGGAGGCUCCCAUGGAGAUGAAGAAACGUGAUAGGGGAAAGGAAGAAGAAAUGGCUAGAGGCUGCUGAAAAUUGCUGGAGCUUUAGAUAUUUGUAUCUAAAGUUUAUCAUUUCUCACAUAAAUUACCAAAAUGCCCUUAACAUGGUGACUUUGUCUUCCUCUCAUCCUUUGUGUAACUUUUUACUCUUUUGACACUAGGGCAAGGUCCAUAAUAGUCUAGAAAUACUCAAGUUCAUGAAAACAUAAAAAUUUAGACCCGAGCUACAAAAUGACUAUUUUGCCCCUACCAUGGAAAUUAUCAUUAUUUUUAUCUUCUUCAUUUAUUUACCAUCAUAAACAUCAUUUAUUCCUUCCUUAGGCCUAUUUAGACCUUAAUAGCAUCAAGAAAACCCACUCGUAAGAGCUCACCAAGAGAAAUUACGAAAUAACCCCUAGUCCGCAUUAUCACGUCUACUUCUAGUUAUGUGUCUAUAGAGAUCGAGAUUUCACAGGUUCACUUCUGAAUUAUCCUUUUUAACUUGGUAAUUAACCUCAAUUGGCAUCCGUAAACUUUAUUAGCCAUAGUAUCAAAAUAUGGGGUACUACAGUUAUUCUUGUUGUAUAAAGUUCCUUUUAGAACCCAUACUUGUCUAAAUUUAUAAGGUAAACAUUUUUUAAUUGGACAAGUGUAUGAAUAAUAACUAAAAAAUGUGCAAUGAUUGCAUUUGGUCAUUUUGGAAGAUGAAGAAUUCAUGAAAGCCUUUUGUUUCUCAUUUAAUAAAUCUUCAAAUUUUCUUUUCACAUCAAAAUUUUCUUUUUCCAAAAUAUCAAUUUUCUUUUGGUAAGCUUUAAAAUCUUUUUCCAAAUUUUCUUUUUCUUUUUCCAAGUCAAUUUUUACUUUCAUCAAAAAUUCAUUUUCAACAUCGAGUAUGGAAAUAAUUUUCUUGUGCUUUACAUUCAUUUUCUCAAACUAAAAUGCUAAAUCCUCAAAAGCAACAUGCAAUUCAUCAAAAGCAUAUGAAUUAAGUUCACAAAAUGAAGAAGUUACCUUUAUCUCUUCAAGAACCAUGAGGCAUAAUUCAAUUUGAUUUAAGGAUUUAUCUUCACUUGAUUCUUUGUGUGCAUUUGCCAUAUUGCUUGUUGAGCAUUGAUUCUCACAAGAGUUGUCUUCGAAUUCCUUUUGCUUCUUUAUUUCUCCAUAUAACUCUUCUAAUUUUUGUCAAAUUUCCUUGCCACUUUUGCACAUGAACACUUUAUCGUAUUCUCUAUAAUGAAGUGCACAAAAAAGAGUGUGCAUGGCCUAAGAGUUCGUUUGUACUUUCCUCAUUUCAGCUUCAAUCCAUUUAUUUCUUCUAUCUUUGGGAGUUUUCUCACCAUUUACAGAAUUUGUAAUCAUAGGAAUGAAAAGACCAUCGGUAAUGACAUCCCAUAUCUCAUAGUCAUAAGCCCUAAUAUAAAUGGACAUUCUAGUACUUUAAUAAGGAUAGUUUAAUCCAUCAAAUAGAUGAGGCAUAUUAAUGCAUUGAUCCUUAGCAUCAACAGAUUUUUCUAGAGCCAUUUGGAUCUCCCCUAAGGAUGUUAAGCCUUAAAAAUGAGGGUUAAGCUCUAAUACCACUUGUUGGUCCCAAAGAAUGUGCUAGAGGGAAGGUGAAUAGCACUUUUGGAAUGACACUAAAAUUUUUUCCAAGUAAAAAGCUGAUUAAAGGAAUUUAAAAAUGGAAAUUUAAAGCUUGCUAGAGGAAUGAUUCAAUUGCUGAGAGUAAGAAGAAAACAAAAGAAAGUAGACAAAACACAAUGAUUUAUAAUGGUUCGGUCCCCUUAACCUACAUCCACUACCUUGAUCUCCUAAUCAAGGAUUUUCAAACCAGUUCACUAAAAUCAAUGGAAUUCCCGAGCUUCCACCAAGUUUUUACAAUGGCUUUUCACAAGCUCAGCCACAACCUUUAACAAUGGUUUUUCACGAGAUCAACCAAAACCCAAAAUGGCUUUUCAAAGGCUCAACCACAACCUUUAACAAUGGUUUUUCAUGGGAUCAACCAAAAUCCAAAACUAACUUUUCUCAGGCUAAGUUAGAACCUACCACAACAACCAAGCUAACCCUACUUGAUCAACUCCUUAAAGUGGCUUGCACACUCUAAGUAAUCAAGAAAUGAAGAAAAGAUGAAGUACAAUUCAUCACCUAGCUAAUCUAAGAUGCACAAAGUUAAGCUCAAACACUUUUUCAAAGGAUAGGAGUGAAAUACAAGUGAAAAUAGAAGGUUUUUAGUCUUCUCAACUCAAAAUCACUUUGGAUAACUUCUCUAUAUUAUUUUUGACUGUUGGAGAGGCUUUAAAUACUUGCAAAAUCAAUUUUGGCCGUUGGAGACAAAAACUAGCCAUUUCUAGCUAUUAUUUUGUCCUUUUGUGCUUAAAUUCAAAUUUUCUAACAGAAUACUCUUAGUCGACUAACUAUGUUUCUUAGUCGAUUAAGUUGUCUCUAUUUUUAAACCCAGUCUCUAGCAGUAAGCUCUUAGUCAACUAACAAUGCUUCUUAGUCGAUUAAGUCAUCUUUGUUUUUGAACCUAGUUUUUAGCAAUAAGCUCUUAGUUGACUAACAAUGCUUCUUAAUCGAUUAAGUCGUCUCUGUUUCUGAACCGGCCAUCUUCAUUUUGAGUUUUAGUUGACUAUCUCCCUUGGUUAUCCGACUAAGAGGCUUCUGUUUGUAUCCAACACCCGCUUAAUUGAUUAAAUCUUGUGUUAACCAGUUAAGAUUAAUCUGUCUUCAUUAAAGCUCUUUCUUCUUUGCUUAUUUAACCAAUUAACCUAUCUUGCAACUGAACAAGCAUCUUGACUUGCUUUCAAAUACCAAAUAUAUUAAUGAAUUUAAGCUUUUUCCUACACACUCAAAUAAUAUAAUUAGACAUCAAUGAAUGGGAAUAUUUUGCUAUCGUAAAAAACAUACAAAGUCAACAUUCUCUAUCUCUUAUUUUUUAUGAUCACAAAACACUCCUAGAUUCAGAUUGCAAUGUCUAUAUUCAAUAUGAAUGCUUUAAAUCUUUAUGUGUAAUGAGUUGCUCCCCCUUAGUCAAUGCAUCUAGUUUUCUUUAGAUAAUAUUCAACAAAACCAAAACUAAGAAUCACACACAUAAAUUAAACAUGAAGUCUUUUAAACUCUAUUUAACUCAAUCUUCUUUCUCUCCUUUUUCUUUUUCAUCAUUAAACAAGAUAUUCAAAACUCCCCCUUAAUGAGUGCGUCUAGAUUUUCCUUUGAUCUUUAAGUCAGACUUUAAUGAAUGAGAAUCAUAAGCACUCAUACACUUUUAAUGAAUGAGAAUCAUAAGUACUCAUACACUUAAGUCAUACAAGCUUAUAGAUAUAGUUCAACUACUUCAAGAGUCAAGCUUGUGUCUAUGCAAAAACAAAUGUAUGGGAGUUAAAUCAUUUCAAGAAAUUAUCAAGGAUUACUCAAAUAAUGUUCAAGCAAAUUUGAUCAUUUUGUCAUAAUCAAAACUAUAAUAAUUUUAAAGUUAACACACUCAUAUUGAUAUUAUUAAUUCUUUUGUGCUAAAUUAACAAAUUUUGAAAACUGAGAAAUUGUUCAUGAGUGCUUGAUUUUUUUUUUAUUUUUCAUGUGCUUACAUUAAAAAAUCAUGUCUUGAGAAUUAAAAUGUUCAAAUGCUUAGUCUAGGAAUAAUUCUUGAAAUAUGUUUCAUGUUUGUACUUAACUGAUUGUUUCAAGAUUGAAUUAUUGCCUAGGCUCAUAAAAUUGAUUAAGAUGAAAUCAUUGAACUUUAUAAAAAAAAAAUUUCGUUCAUCUAUUGUUUUGGUCAAGUCAAAUGCUUACAUGACUUUUAAUCUUGAUUGACAUUAAUGAUUGAAGUCUAAAACUUGACUUAAGUAAUAGAAUUACUUAUGGUACAUAAUUUCAUAACUCAAGUCAAGUUUGAUUAUGACAUAUAUUGUGUUAACAUAGUUGAAAUCUUUUAAAUAUGAAUUUGAUUGUUAACUAUGUCUCUCACGGGCUUAAAUGAUUACAUAAUCUAAAGAUUUUGUGUACAUCCAACUUUAUCUAUAAAUAACUUUCAUGAUUAACGAACUUGAAUUAUUUUAGUGAGAUUAAGAGUAAUUCUAAGUUUAUUGGAGCUUGGAAUAUCUACGUCUAAAUGGAUUCCCCACUCACCUUUAUAGAAUUCAACUUGUUUAAGUUGGAAUGCAUGUUUUAUUUAAUUAUUUAAAUUUAUUUAAAAAAAUGGUAACUUUACAUAUUGUCUUAAUUAAUACAAGAGUUGUCUCAAUUUAGACAAAGUACAUAUGUUGUCUUAAUUAAGACAAUAGUUGUUUUAAUUUAGAUAGAAAUAUUUGUGUUGAUUGAAGAUAAGAGAUGUCUAAAUUAUAUUAUUUUAUUUUUGGUAAGUCAAAAAAUUGUCUUAAUGAAUAAGUAUUUUUUUAAAACAAGAGCUGUCUUAAAAUGAAAAAUAUUUAUUAAGAUAAUUAUUGUCUUGAGAUAAAAUAAUAUGGGAGGAUUUUAAUUAUAAUUAAAGAAUUAAAUAGUUUAUUCUUUAUUUACAAUUAAUUACAAUUUCUUGAUAAAUUAUAAGAGCCCAUGUUUGAUUAGAAUUUCUUCAUUUUAUUAUUAAUUUUUUUAAUUAAAGAUGGAUAAUAAUAAAAUAGAAUAUUUAUUUAAUAAGGAAUCAUAUUUUGACUUGGACAAAUAAUUAUAAUUAAAUAAAUAAAUUAUUGAUAUUUAAUUUUAAUUUUAAUUAUUAUUGGAGGAGUAUGGUACAACAAUAACAUUUUACAGAUGAGCAACUUGGACUCUUGAUAGCAAUUUAUUUUUAAUUAAAAAUAAAAAUAAAAGAAGAGUUCAUCAAGAAACAAAAUUAAAGGGUGGCUGUACCUUAUAAUAUAAAAAAGGGUAAAAGAAAAUUUCAUCAUCUUUUAAGGCCGAAACCUUAAGUCCAAAAAUUCCUCCAAGAAUCCUCCAUAGCCACCUUUUCUCUUUAGGUUCUUCUUGAUCUCCAAUCUAAGUAUAUUUUUCUAGAAACCUCUCACAAGAAAAACAACCAUAAAUUUAAAAAAGGAAAUGAGAGAAAUUCAAUUGUUACCAUCUUGAUUUAUUCCAUACCUUGUCUACUUAAGGUUCAAGCUGAAAGCCAUUCUUGAAGAAUAAGUGGUAACUUUAUUUCGUUGAGAAAUCGAUGGUGUGGUGGUGAAUUUAUUAUAAUUCACUAAGAGUCAAGAAUCAAGAAUCUUGUAAAGGAAAAACCUAUUUUAGUAAUUUGGGCAUAACUUUCUCUCUAGAGGUCCAAACGAUGUGAUUCUAAAGGCAUUGGACAGCUAAAAACAGAACUAUAAUUCUUAUGAUGACCAUAUUUCCCAGUUUGAAUGGGAUCAAGGAGAAAAAUUUGUCACUUGUUGCUAGUUAGUGGGAACCAAAUUUGAGGAACGAGAUCAAGGAAAGGUAUGUUCAUCAUUAUUUAUAGAUUCUUGAUUUUUAUAGAUGUGAUUACAUGAUUUUGCAAUAAGUGUGAUGUGUGAAUUCACUUGUGUAUUUGGAUUGCUUGCUUUUGUAGUUAGAAAAUUUUUGAAAUCCAUGGUUUACAUAAACACAUCUAUGCAUAAAGAUCCAAUCUCCAACAGUGACUCCCAUAGAGGCUCAUCAAGUAGGGAGCUUAAAAGAAUGAAACAAUGGUUGUUACACUCAACAUGAAUUUACUAUUAACUUACCUACAAUAGCUUUGUUAGUAUACUUCAUGCACCAAAUAAAGGUGCUUUUUAACCAUGUUAGGUAUGAAGAUAUGGGGUAACAUAGUUAAGUGGGAUGGUCCUAGUUACCUAGUAGUAAAUUCUCACAACCCACCAUCGCUUUAUUUAUCAUAAAAAAGUGAAUGACCACAGAACUAAUAAUAUAAUUUAUAGGGUUUUAUAUAUUAUCAUCAUGCAUGCAUUAAUCAAGAAUUGUUCGAAGUCCAUGUAUAACUAGUAUACUUAUAAAAUUUCAAAUGUACUUUUAGAAACAUAUUUGCAUGCAAACAUGAAUCCACUUUCCAUUUUGUUAAAUAAAUGUACUCUUGAAGGUGAUAACUAUAUUGAAUAGAAAAGGAACCAAAAUAUCGUCUUAAAUUAUGACAAAAUCACAUGGGUUCUUUCUAAGCAUGGGCCUAAACCACUUACUCCCAAAUCAACUCCAUAAGUGCUAUAUACUACUGAACAGCAUAUUGCAAAAGCAGCACAAGGGCAUAGGCUAAGUGCUAUAUGCUGCUGACAUGAUGUUGCACUUGCAUGUGAUGUUUAGUGCUAAAAUAAGGUCUGUUAAGGUAAAAGCAAUCAAUGCUUUUAAAGACCCUAAGUAGAAACUUGGGGAGCUAGUUAGGGAUUACAUGUUGAAAGUAAUCUCUUAUCUCAAUGAGGUAGCACUAUAUGGUGUUGAGAUAAUUACAGAAAUGCAAAUAUCCAUGAUCGUUCAUAGCCUAAAUUCAUCUUUUUCACAGUUCAAAUUGGAUUAUGAACUGCACAUUAGGGAUUACACCCUAAGUGGGCUAAUGAAUUAUUUGCAAAAUAUGGAAAAGUUUCUUGAAUUGAAAAAGAAACCAAAACCACAUGCAGUUUCCACUUCUAAGCCCAAACCCAAAGGUAAAAAGAAGAAAGCUAGAGAUAAAAAUAGUGUAAAAGGCUCAAUGGGAGUUAAGAAAAAGCCCAUGAAGAAGUUUACUUCAAAAGACAACACCCAGGGAAAGUGUUUCAACUGUGGUGAGAAAGGACAUUAAAAGUGAAAUUGCAAGGUUUACCUUGGAAUCCAAAAGAGUGAACAAGGUAUGGGUUUUCUAAAUGUAAUAGAAGCUUGUUUGGUGGUUUAUUCUAUAAAUACAUAGAUAGUAGAUUCUGAAGCCAUAAACCACGUUUGUUAUUCUCUGCAGGGUUUCAACAAAGGACAAAACUAACUUAAGGGUAGUUUCAAAUGAGGAUGGCAAUUGGCACUCAUUCAGCAAAAGUGAUGGGAGCCAUCGCUCUUCAAUUUCCUUAUGGUCGUAGUUUAUUUUGGGAAAAUGUUUCUUACAUUCCAAAGACUUAUAAAAAUUUAAAUUUUGUUUUUUGUUUAAUAAAGUCUAUAUAUUCAGUUUACUUUUUGUUAGAUAAAUAAGCUUAAAGUAAAGUAACCAAAAAGGGAGCUGAAUUGGUUAUCAAAUAAAAAUUUUCCUUUUUUGAAAUUUCAACAUAGCUAAAGUACAAAGAACGGAGUUAUAAAAAUAGAGUAUAAGCUAAGUAAGUAAACUGUAAAAAAGGAAAGAGUACCCAGCCAAGCUUUUAUUGAGGUUUGACCAUUGAUGCUUACGUCUUCUCCCUUGAUAGCACAAGGAGUUCGAAUCCACUAUCAACUUACCUUUUAACACGAGAUCAGGCGUAACUUUUACAAUAAAAUGCCUUUUGUCAAACCCUGUUCUAUAAAAUAAUUACGACGUCAUUUACAUGCUCAAUAGAAUGUUUACAGAUUUAGAGAGUUUGAGAAAUCGUUAAAAGACGAUAUUGCCCCUAAUGGUACCAUUGAGUCGAUUAAGCCUCGAACUAGUUCAAAUAGGAAUUUUAAGGUGAAAUUAAGAGUUUCACAAUUCAUGGAUGACUCAAAAUGGUAAUUCGGAGUUCGAGGAUCAAUUUGGAGUCAAACCAGAAUUUUCACUAUCUAGGGGUAAAAUGGUCAUUUGCCACUUGGGGACCAAAUGGGAAUUUUUAGAAAAGAUUUGUUUUGGUCCAUUUGACUUAUUGGAGUAUGAUUUAAGUAUUGGAAUAUGAUUUGAAGUUUAGAAGUGAAAAAUUUUAAUUCCUAUAUAAUUUGGAGUAUAAGGGUGAAAUGGUAAUUUUGCCACCUCGGGGGCAAAUCGGUAAAUUUUCACCCCCGACACUUGUCAAGACCAAGGGAUUUUAUUCAUCAUGGAAAUGGAUAAACAUGAGAAAUGUGUGGUGGAGAAUUAAAAAAUUAAAAGUCAAAUAUUUAAAAUUUGAGCCAAUAAGGAAAUGCCAUGUGUCGUGUUUUUAUUAUUUUAUUAUUUCUUUAUAAAANNNNNNNNNNNNNNNNNNNNNNNNNNNNNNNNNNNNNNNNNNNNNNNNNNNNNNNNNNNNNNNNNNNNNNNNNNNNNNNNNNNNNNNNNNNNNNNNNNNNNNNNNNNNNNNNNNNNNNNNNNNNNNNNNNNNNNNNNNNNNNNNNNNNNNNNNNNNNNNNNNNNNNNNNNNNNNNNNNNNNNNNNNNNNNNNNNNNNNNNNNNNNNNNNNNNNNNNNNNNNNNNNNNNNNNNNNNNNNNNNNNNNNNNNNNNNNNNNNNNNNNNNNNNNNNNNNNNNNNNNNNNNNNNNNNNNNNNNNNNNNNNNNNNNNNNNNNNNNNNNNNNNNNNNNNNNNNNNNNNNNNNNNNNNNNNNNNNNNNNNNNNNNNNNNNNNNNNNNNNNNNNNNNNNNNNNNNNNNNNNNNNNNNNNNNNNNNNNNNNNNNNNNNNNNNNNNNNNNNNNNNNNNNNNNNNNNNNNNNNNNNNNNNNNNNNNNNNNNNNNNNNNNNNNNNNNNNNNNNNNNNNNNNNNNNNNNNNNNNNNNNNNNNNNNNNNNNNNNNNNNNNNNNNNNNNNNNNNNNNNNNNNNNNNNNNNNNNNNNNNNNNNNNNNNNNNNNNNNNNNNNNNNNNNNNNNNNNNNNNNNNNNNNNNNNNNNNNNNNNNNNNNNNNNNNNNNNNNNNNNNNNNNNNNNNNNNNNNNNNNNNNNNNNNNNNNNNNNNNNNNNNNNNNNNNNNNNNNNNNNNNNNNNNNNNNNNNNNNNNNNNNNNNNNNNNNNNNNNNNNNNNNNNNNNNNNNNNNNNNNNNNNNNNNNNNNNNNNNNNNNNNNNNNAAAUUUAAUAAUGAUUUCAAAAAUAGAGUAAUUGGAGACCUAUACUAUGAUUGUGUUGUUUAUCCAUGAUUUUACAUUAAAUGGCUUAUGAUAAAUGUGGGUAUGACUGGUUAUUUUUAUGAUUUUAAGAAUAUGUGAACUGUGUGUUAAGUGAGCCAUGUCAUACUAUUGUGAUUUUAUUGGUUGGUGGAUUAUAAAGUGGGCACUACAGUGACAGAGGUUCCGUGGGCCAGCCUAAUUAGAGGGGCAUGGUUCCCAAUUAUUGAGCUUACCUCGAUUGGAGAGGCGCGUAGGAUAACUCUCGAGGUAGGAUUUGAGUACACUUCACGCUGGCCACCACGUGAAACUGGGAUUCAGCCAACACCGAGGAAUGGCUGUGUUGUCAGAGGUGAAAUGUGUUUGUGUGUGUGACAAUAAACAACCUUGGCGGGGUAUCCCUGUGAAUGGAUUUUUGACAAGGGCCAAGUUUUUGAAAAGUGCAUAAGCCAUGUUGAGUAAUUGGAUGAAAUCCAAUUAUUUAUAUGGGUUGGGAUGAAUUAUUUUAAUUGUCUCCUAUUACUCGGCUUUAGAUUAUUUUGAUGAUGUCUGUCUACUCACUCGAAUUUUAUAAUCUCACCCCUUCUUCCUAUCCAUUUUUCAGGCUCAGAAUAAUUUGUUAAUAGUUGAUUAAGACGAGAAUUAAUCUCGGAGUUGCAUCUUAGAAAGUAAGGGUUCGUAACCCUACAUUUUCUUAGUCAGUUGGGGGCCAACGUGUCACUGUAAAAGUAAUUUUAUUCUUCAGUUAUUUAAUUUAAAGUAUGUAUGAAUAUAUUUAGCUUUUACACCAUGUUUUUGGCGAGUUUCGGUAUUUUCGAAGAAAAAUAAUAAAAAUGCCCCUGUAAGCCAGAAAGUAAUAUUUUAUUGUUUUGAUUUGGAAAUGACUUAUGAUUUUUUUUGAAAUGUGAGAUUUAAUAACUAUCGCUCACUAGGGAGAUGUGAAGCUGAUGCUAAGUCUUGCGGGGUUUCGAUUGACAUUCGGGGUAAUGAGUGCCUAUCGGGACGUCGCGACGGUUGUCACGGGCUCGAUGAGAGUUUCGGGUCGUGACACCUUUUCAAGGAUCAAGCACAACCUCAACCAAAGUCACUACCUUUUUAGGAUCAAGCACAACAUUUACAAUCAAAAUGACUUUUAAGGAUCAAGGAGGUAUAAUUUAUACAAUAGUGGAUUCUUAAAAUAAUCUCUAGCUCAAAACCUAUAAUUGUUGGUCCUAAAUAAAUGUGUUAAAGGAGGGUGAAUAGUAUUUUUGGCUCUUACUAAACUUCAUUUCCAAUUGGGGGUAAAUUGAAGGUCAAUGAUGAGAAAUUUGAAGCAAGAUGAAGGAACGACUUAAGAAAGAAUGAAAAUGAAAAAUAAAACAGAGGAGAUAAAACUCAAAGAUUUAUAGUGGUUCAGUCAAAAACCUACAUCCACUACCUUGAUUGUUCAACCAAGGAUUUUUCAAACCAAAUCACUAAAAACAAUGGAAUUCCCUAGCUUCCACCAAGCUUUUACAAUGGCUUUUCAUUGGCUCAGCCACAACCUUUAACAAUGGUUUUUCACAAGAUCAACCAAAACCCAAAAUGGCUUUUCAAAGGCUCAAUCACAACCUUUAAUAAUGGAUUUUCACAGGAUCAACCAAAACUCAAAACUAACUUUUCUAAGGCUAAGUUAGAACCUACCACAGCAACCAAGCUAACCCAAGCUUGAUCAACCCCUUAGAGUGCCCUACACACUCUAAGUAAUCAAGAAAUGAAGAAAAGAUGAAGUACAAUUGAUCACCUAGUUGAUCUAAGAUGUACAAAGCUAAGCUCAAACACUUUUUCAAAGGAUAAGAGUGAAAUACAAGUGUAAAGAGAAGGUUUUUGGUCUUUUAAGCUCCAAAUCACUAUGGAUAGCUUUUCUCUCUUGUUUUUGACUGUUAGAGAGGCUUUAAAUACUUACAAAAUCAAUUCUGGCCAUUGGAGAUAGAAACUAGCCAUUUUUAGCUGUUAUUUUGUCUUCUAAUGCUCAAUUUAAAUUUUCUGGCAGAAUGAUCUUAGUCGACUAACUGAGCUCUUAGUCAACUAAGUUGUCUCUGUCUUCUGAUCCUAGUUUUUGACAAUGAGCUCUUAGUCAACUAACUUCUUUUUUAGUUGAUUAAAUUGUUUCUAUCUUGAAGUCCAGAUUUCUGGCAGUAGGCUUUUAGUCAACUAACUUACUUCUUGGUCAACUAAGUCUUCUCUGUUUCUGAACUAGCCAUCUUCAUUUUUGAGUUAUUAAUUUAUUAUUGACAUACAUUUUGUCCUGCACACUCAAGUAGUAGAGUUAGACAUAAAUGAAUGGCAAUGUUUUAUUAUCAUAAAAAACUUAUGGAGCCAACAAUCUUCCUUCUUUUUUUUUUUGGAUGACGACAAAACAUUCCUUGAUUAAUAGCACAAUGUCUAUUAACUCUUUUUGUUCUGCACAAGAUGAGGAAUUUCUCCCCUUGAGUGUGUGUGUCACGACCCAAAUUUCAGGCCAUGACCGGCGUAAGGGCCCAAUAGACGUAGUCCAUUAAGCCCAAGCAAGCCUAUUAAUCUAACAUGUUCAUCAUUCCAUCAUAAACUGCUAAGUCAUAUUUCAUAACUUAGAAUCAAAAUAAUAUUAGACAUUGCCACCUCAUAUUGGCAUACCAAACAAGUGUAUAUACAUUAUCUACAACAUGUAUCUUAAUAAUUUACAUUAGGUUUGUCUACACACAACAAAAGAAUACUCGACUUCCAGCGAAGAGACUCGGACUAAUGUACAGCUACUGAAUGCCGAGACACCUACCAAAAGAUGGAUACAAGUCUACAAGGACACCUCGUCCUAGUUAUUGGCUACCUCGUGAUCUGAAAACAUGAAGUUGAAAAUGGUGAGUAUAAACCCAGUGAGUGAACAAGGAAGGGAACAAGCAACCACAAGGGAAAUUUAAAAUCAUGAUGCACUUGUUUCAAAACAAUGCAAUUUAGUUCCAUUCAUAUUAAAAAACCCCUCAUCAAGCCCUUAAAUGAUUAAUCAUUUGAAAAUCAUGAACCCAUACAUAACGAACCAUUUGAAAAAUGAAAGCUUCAAUGAUACGCAAGCAAGUCAAAUGUGACAACAAAUCUUUGCUGCAGCGACGUUGGGAUUAAGUUACUAGCUGAACAAGGGUUUCUCAACUGGCCGAGGGUUUCUCACUAAACCUCGUCAUUUUAAACUUAACUCAUUUAGUCCUUAAUGUUGAAAGUCCAUGCUCAGAUAUGGUAACAAAGAAGUGAAAAAUAGGGCAGCAAUUGGACAAGAUAGGGGACAAAACAGAAAGUUUUUCACUGCAGUGAGAUUCAAUCUCGCUGCAACGAAAUUGUGACCUAAAAACAGAAAGUUUCUUGCUGCAACGAGAAUGAAUUUCGCUACAGCGAGAAGCUACAGUGUCAUUCUCACUGCAGUGAAAAUGCAUUCUCACUGCAGUGAGUUUUCAGCCAAUCUACCCCUCCAAACCCGAGAGUUUCUCGUUGCAGCAAAAAUGAUUCUCGCUAUAGCGAGAAACAGGGCACCAAUGAAAAAUUUUCCCUUCUUCCUAAAGAAAAACCACCCUGCUAAAAUGUCCAAACCAACAUGAAACGCAUGACAAUUUUCCAAGUUUAACAUGUCAAGUUUCACAUGCAUUACAACCAUAUACCAUUACUAAUUAAUUUCCUAUAACACACAUAUUUACAUAUGUAUAUAUGUAUAUGUAUACCCAUCAUCAUCAUGCACACCAUCCCAUCAUUAUGCACACCAUCCCAUCAUCAUCAUACACACCAUCACAUCAUCAUCAUCACCAGCUCAUGCACACUCCCUACUCGCACAUGGCUAGGUCAUCAUCGGGUUAUGCGCACUCCCUACUCACACAUAACCGAGUCAUUCUUGGCUUAUGCGCACUCCCUACUCGCACAUAGCCGAGUCAAUAUAAUUACACAACACUAUAGUCAAACACAUAUGUAUAUCAACAUAAUGCUGCAACAUAGAGAUCCAUGAUAACCACAUGUCAUAACAUAUAAUUGAUUUAUCAAAGGCUUGUUCCCAAGGCACUUGUUUUAACCAAAGUUGUAUAGAAUCAUUAAAAUACUUUGUACAAAACGGUCAUAUUCCCAAAACUAUUUUGAUAGGCAAUCCACUCACAAGUAUAUUGUUGAGCCUUUAGAUGACUUUAAUUCCCCUAAUUGUCCAAAUGGGAUGAUGGGGCUGUGAGACCUCAACCUCUAUAGGCUUGUAACUAAGUAUAGAUGUAAUAAUACGAGCCAGGGGUAGUUUCGUCAUUUUCUCUAAUAAGCUUCCAUAAGAAACGUUUAUGAUAAUUUAAGGCUUAAAUGGGUAUAAGACUGCAUAAAUGAUGUGUGCUGAUGAAAACAUGAAGAAAACUAGAAGUUUCAAUAAUUUUCAUAACAGGGGCAAAAUGGUCAUUUUUCACCUCGGGUUAAAACUUUAAGUUUUUAUGAACCCGAACAUGUCUAGACCAUUAUGGAUCUUGUCCCAGUGUUAAAAGAGUAAAAAGUUUGCAUAAAACAUUGGAGGAGAAUAAGUAAAUUGGUGGAAGGGCAUUUUCGUAAUUUUAAGAGAAAAGAUAAGAUUGCCUAUAAAUAUCUUGAAUUUCCAGCAACUUCUAGAGAUGUUCCAACAGCUGGUCUUCUUCUUCUUCUUCUUCUCCUCUCUCAUGUUUUUUCAAAACUCCAUGGAAGCUUGAUUUGAAGCUUGAAUGAUUUUCUCUCUCUAGCUCUAGUUUUCACACCUUUGAACCCUUUUGACUAGAACCUUUGAAUUCUUUCAUCCUCUCACUUUAAAACCCUUGAUAAAGCUUAUUUCCAUACUUUCUCUCACUAGUUGGGCAUUUUAGAGAGAGAAAAAGAGAAUUACUCUAUUGAUUUAGAAGCAAUUAGAAGAGAAUUUGACUACAAAGGAGCCCUAGGGUAAGUAAUGAACUAAGCUCGAUUUUUAGUUGCAGAAAAUGGCUAGUAAUUGGGAUUUAUGAGCUGUUUUAUUGUUGAGUAUGUUCAUUACUUUUAGUGAUUAAGAUAGUGAACAUAGAUAGCUAUUUAAUGUGGCAAUUGAAAACUAGCUAAGAGAUAGCUUUUAAAGUUCAUAGUGUGUAAAUUGAUCUAUUGUUUAUGUUAAUGUGAUCCUAGGUUUUAAGGAAGCCCCAUCAUCUCAUUUGGACAAUUAAGGGAAUUGGAGUCAUCUAAAGGCUUUACAAUCAAUUGGUGAGUGGACUGCCUUCAAAACUUAUUUUGGGAAUAUAAUGUAUUUGAUAAACGUUUGAAUGAUUUUAUACGAUUUUUCAUGAAAAUGAAUGUCUUGGGAACAAGCUCUUGAGAAAUGAUUUAUGUUAUGAUAUGUGGUUAUUAUGGAUUUCUAUGUGGCUGCAUUAUAUUGAUAUACAUAUAUGCUUGAAUAUAAUGUUGUGUAAUUAUAUUGACUCGGCUAUGUGCGAGUACGGAGUGCGCAUAAGCCGAGGAUGACCCGGUUAUGUGCGAGUAGGGAGUACACAUAACCCGGUGAUGACCUAACCAUGUACAAGUAGGGAGUGCGCAUGAGCUGGUGAGGAUGAUGAUGGGAUGGUGUGAUGAUGAUGAUGGGUAUAAGCGUAUAUAUAUAUAUAUAUGUAAAUAUGUGUGUCAUAGGAAAUUGAUGGAUAAUGGGUUCUGGUUGUAAUGCAUGUGAAACUUGACAUGUUAAACCUUGAGAAAUUGUUAUGUGUUUCAUAUUGGUUUUGAACAUUUCAAGCAGGGUGGUUUUNNNNNNNNNNNNNNNNNNNNNNNNNNNNNNNNNNNNNNNNNNNNNNNNNNNNNNNNNNNNNNNNNNNNNNNNNNNNNNNNNNNNNNNNNNNNNNNNNNNNNNNNNNNNNNNNNNNNNNNNNNNNNNNNNNNNNNNNNNNNNNNNNNNNNNNNNNNNNNNNNNNNNNNNNNNNNNNNNNNNNNNNNNNNNNNNNNNNNNNNNNNNNNNNNNNNNNNNNNNNNNNNNNNNNNNNNNNNNNNNNNNNNNNNNNNNNNNNNNNNNNNNNNNNNNNNNNNNNNNNNNNNNNNNNNNNNNNNNNNNNNNNNNNNNNNNNNNNNNNNNNNNNNNNNNNNNNNNNNNNNNNNNNNNNNNNNNNNNNNNNNNNNNNNNNNNNNNNNNNNNNNNNNNNNNNNNNNNNNNNNNNNNNNNNNNNNNNNNNNNNNNNNNNNNNNNNNNNNNNNNNNNNNNNNNNNNNNNNNNNNNNNNNNNNNNNNNNNNNNNNNNNNNNNNNNNNNNNNNNNNNNNNNNNNNNNNNNNNNNNNNNNNNNNNNNNNNNNNNNNNNNNNNNNNNNNNNNNNNNNNNNNNNNNNNNNNNNNNNNNNNNNNNNNNNNNNNNNNNNNNNNNNNNNNNNNNNNNNNNNNNNNNNNNNNNNNNNNNNNNNNNNNNNNNNNNNNNNNNNNNNNNNNNNNNNNNNNNNNNNNNNNNNNNNNNNNNNNNNNNNNNNNNNNNNNNNNNNNNNNNNNNNNNNNNNNNNNNNNNNNNNNNNNNNNNNNNNNNNNNNNNNNNNNNNNNNNNNNNNNNNNNNNNNNNNNNNNNNNNNNNNNNNNNNNNNNNNNNNNNNNNNNNNNNNNNNNNNNNNNNNNNNNNNNNNNNNNNNNNNNNNNNNNNNNNNNNNNNNNNNNNNNNNNNNNNNNNNNNNNNNNNNNNNNNNNNNNNNNNNNNNNNNNNNNNNNNNNNNNNNNNNNNNNNNNNNNNNNNNNNNNNNNNNNNNNNNNNNNNNNNNNNNNNNNNNNNNNNNNNNNNNNNNNNNNNGAGUAAUGCCAGUACGAGUUGGCAAUGUAUAUCACUAUUUUGAUUCAAAAGUAUGAAAUAUGACUUAGCGAUAUUUGAUGGAAUGAUGAGUAGGAUAAAUCGAUAGGCUUGCUUGGGCUUAAUAGACUACGUUUAUUGGGCCCUUGUGCCGGUCAUGGCCCGAAAAUUUGGGUCGUGACAGGGGCUUCCUUGAAACCUACCAUCACAUUAACAUCACCAUUAUGUUAAUUCACAUACUAUAAACCCUAAAAGCUAUCUCUCAACUAGCUUUCAAUUGUCACUUUAAAUGAUUAUCGAUGUUCACUAUCUUAAUCACUAUAAAAUGAAUGAACAUACUCAACAAUAAAACAGCUCAUAAUCCCAAUUACUAGCCAUUAUUCACAGCUAAAAAUCAAGCUUAGUUCAUCACUCACCCUAGGGUUUCUUUGUAGUUGAAUUCUCUUCCAAUAGCUUCCAAACAAAUGGUGUAAUUCUCUCUUUCUCUCUCUAGAAUGCCCAACUAGUGAGGAAAAGUAUGAAAAUAAGAUUUUUCAAGGGUUUUAAGAAGAGAGAGUGGAAGAAUACAAGGGUUCUAGUCAUAAAGGCACAAAGGUAUGAAAACUAGAGCUAGAGAGAGAAAAUCAUGCAAGCUCCAUAUCAAGCUUCCGUGGAGGUUGGAAGCAAUGUGAAAGAAAAAAAGGAGGAAGAAGAAAAAGCUGCUGGAAAAUGGGAGAAAAAGCUGCUGGAAGAAAAAUAUUUAUAGCCAAUCUUAUCCAUUCCACUUAAAUUACCAAAAUGCCCCUCCACCAAUUAACUUACUCUCCUCCAACCCUUUAUGAAAUCUUUUUACUCCUUUGACACUGGGACAAGGUCCAUAAUGGUCUAGACAUACUCGGGUUCAUGAACGCUUAUAAUUUUAACCCGAGGUGAAAAAUGACCAUUUUGCCUCUACCAUGAAAAUCAUCAAAAUUUUUGUUUCCUUUUCAUUUUACCCCUAAUUUCAUCAUCUAUUUAUGCCUUAGGCCUACUUAGGCCUUAAUAUUGUUUAAACUUACUUUUAUGGGUUUGGUAAGGAAAUGACAAAAUUACUCUUGAUCAGGGAUAUCACGUAUACUUCCCUUUACAAGUCUAUAAAGGUCAAGGUCUCAUAGUGUGCCCCCCCUUAAUGUAUGCAUGAUCUUUUCAAGUUAUUUUGUUAUCCAACUUAGCAAGUCAGUUAAUUUUUUAUCUAUUUCUUAAUGAAAAUAACAAGCAUUGAUUCAAACAUUUGACAGAGCAUAUUCAUGAAUUGUCUUACAAGCUUGCAGAGCUACCAGUUAUAAGUAACAAGAUAUUAUCAAUAUUUUGACCAUUUAUACCAUCAUCAGCAUAUUAUCAACAAACCAUAUCCAUUCUAGAAUCAAAUGUCAUUAACAAGCCAACAAAGAUAACAUAAAAGCAUAACAAAAGUAAGUCAUCAGCAUCCAAAUCCUAACCAUCAACAAUUAUCAUAGCAGAAUGUCAAAUUCUAACCAUCAGCAAUUAUCACAGCAGAAUGUUAUAAGUAACUAAGUAUCACACACAUAAAUUAAACAUGAAGACCUAUCAAACUCUGUUUAACUUAGUCUUCCUUCUCUCCUUUUUCUUUUUCAUCAUUAAACAAGAUAUUCAAAACUUUCACUUAAUGAAUGCAUCAAGAUUUUCCUUGAAUCUUUAAAUCAAACUUUAAUGAAUGAGAAUUAUAAGCACUCAUGCACCUAAGUCAUACAAGCUUAUAGAUAUAGUUCAAUAACUUCAAGAGUCAAGCUUGUGCCUAUGUAAGAACAAAUGUAUGGGAGUUAAAUCAUUUCAAGAAAUUGUCAAGGAUUACUCAAAUAAUGUUCAAGCAAAUUUGAUCAUUUUGUCAUAAUCAAAACUAUAAUAAUUUUAAAGCUAACACUAAUAAAGCUAGUAAGGAAUUUGAGUACAAAAAGAUGAGAGCUUUCUCAAGAAUUAUGAACGAUAAAGUGAAGUUUAAGCUCAAGAAACUCUAGCUAAGAAAUAAAAAUGUGAUCUUGGUUUUCUGCUCUUGCUAAAAAAAAGGAUUUUUUUUUGUUCACAACUUUCUUACUUGUUUUUGCUAUUUUCUUUGCUUUUCAAUUCUUUUCAAUCUCUUCAAAAGUGUGUCUAUAAUGUCCUCAGAUUGGAUAUUUAUAGGCCCCGUGAUUUCUUUCCUUUUGGAAUGAAAUUUGAAUAAACUUUUAUACAUUUUGGCCAACUUGCACAUUUCUAUCGCAUAUGUAGAAUCGAUUCUUUGUUCAUGAGUUAUCAGUUCUUCAUAAAAUCUAAAAUUUUUUGUCUCUAUAGAAUUGAUUCUUCCUUCUUGAGAUGCCGAUUCUUCCACAACUUGGCUCAAAGGUGACAUCUUUACACUUUAGUAAAAUCAAUUCUUUUAUUCCAAGGAGUCGAUUCUUCACUAUGGUCUAGUGCCAAAAUUUGAAUUUGAGCUUGCUUUUUUGGCACUCCAAUCUUAUCCAAUUGUACCAUCUCUUUAUUCUUCACCAAGUUUAUGAUUUUUUUCAUUGGUGCUUCAAGAACCAAUAUCUUCUUCCUCCAAUAUCGAUUCUUUGUCUUUAGACUUUAAAUAUUUGAUUCAUUCUCACUCAAAACCGAUGAUUGCUUCAUGGAGAAUCAAUUUUUUCAUGCUUGAAUUCUUCCUUCUGCAUUUUGUUCUACUAGAAUUGAUUCUUGCUCUCUAAGCUGUCGAUUCUUCUCAAAUCUUGAAGCUUCUAUCUUCCAAGAACUGACUUUUUCUCUUAUUAGAAUUGAUUCUUCUCAUAAUAAGGGAAUAAAUUUUUCUUUCCACUCUUUUAAGAAUCGAUUCUUUAAGGCUGGCACUUGAGUUCAAGUUUGCUUAAAACCUUUUUUUCUUUGCAAGCUAAACUUCAGAAUUCUUAAGGAUUUUCUUCAAGUUUAAAAAUAUUUCUAAUCAUUUCCAAUUCAUGUUUAGAUCAAUCAAUUUUGUCAUUUCAAAACCAAGGUAAAGCUAACAAUCUCUCCUUUUUUUUUAUGACAAAAUUAAGAGCUAAAUUUGCUCAUUGAAAAACUCCUUUUGAAUUUAUGCUUAACAUUUGAAAAGAUCCCAGAACCAGGGUAACAUUAUAAAAAGGAUUUGAAAGGAUGUUCAGAACUCCGCCUGAGUUUGUGCACUUUUCAAAAUGAUUGCAUGAUAUUUUAAAAGCCCUUUUGAAAUCAUUGUUUAGGAAAAUCCAACCAAAUAUAUGAAAAGCUUUGGCAAAUUUACUCCUAAUAUUUUCCCCUUUUUUUAUGUAAAUAGAGUUAGAAUAAUGAGAAGAAAAACUCAUAGGAAAACAAAGCAUUAGUAGUACAAUAUAAAUACCAUUUAAAGACAAAGCAUAUAGACAUUCAUAGCAAGAUAGUUCAAUCAAUUAUACUUAUAGAUGUCAAAACAAAUAAUGUGAAUCUUGCAUUAUCAAUAUCUAAAUAACAAAACCAUUUAGAUCAAAACAUUAAUCAAUGAGACGUAUCUAUGAACAUGUAGAAGUCAUCCAACAAGAAUGUCACGACCCAAAUCUAGGGCCAUGACCGACGCAAAGGUAUUGAUGGGAGUUACCCUCUUAACCCAUGCAAGCCUAAGAUGAACAAUUCAAGUCAAUACUUGGAAUUACCUCAUGGGACUCAUCACCAUGGAACUGUACAUAAAACAUAUACGAACAUAUCAAAUCACAUAAGAUUAAAUCAUAUUAGUUUACACAUUAACGUGGCCAAAAUGAGAAAGCAAUAAUCAGUAAAAUAUCAUUUAUAGGCCAUCCUAUGGCAUUUACAUAGUGUGGCCAUUACUUGGCAAAUUCCAUAUACAUAUCAUUAAUACAAGACGUAAAUAUAGUCAUAUUUAUAACAGUCAAACAAAAUGACCAAACCAAAUAGGACCAACAGAGAACAACUCAAAACAAAAGGGCUAACACCUACUUGAUGCCAUAAGAUAACCUACCAAAAACUGAUCAAAGUGUUGGCUCUUCCCAAAGGACAAUGAGCCAAGCAACUAUUGAUAUGCAAAACAAGUGCAUCUUACAUUUAUGAGUUGUAAAUAACUUCAUAAGCAGAUACGAGAAGGGGGAACUAGCUAAACGGGAGAGUGUUUGUCCAAAAUACUUUUAAAAUAAAUGUAAAUAAUCUGAUUCAAAAAAAUAACAAAGUUGCCUUUCAACUGUAACAAUUUUUCCUAAGGGUUUAGGAAUUUAAUCCUAAGCAAAAUCAAGCAUCCUAUAGUGCGAGUUAUGUGCCAAGUAUGAUCACAUAUCAAACAAACUUCAAUACCAUCGCCUCGAUGGAUACAAACUUAUUUAGAAGGAUUUUAUAAAAUUUUGUUGGAAACCAUUCUCAAACCUUUGAAAUAAAAAUUAUAGUUUGUAAAACAUUCAAGUAUUCCCAAAAAAUAAUUUAUUUAUAUUGAGGUUUAAAGCUUUUGUAAAACAAAGUGUAGUUCAAAGAAAAUGAAGUAAUGUUGUUGUCUUUAGAAAAUCUUUGAGGAAAACGAAUGAAUUUCAAAUUAACAUAAUUUGCAUUACAUUGUGUAAAUCAAGUUUGAAUACCAUAUACAAAUGCCAAAAAUCUAAACAAAUAACAACUCAAGCACCAAGGUCGAAAUCAAUGUCAAUUCCAAGAAUCGAGGUCAAAACAAAUACCAAAUCUAAAGUCCAAAGUUGAGAUAAUAUCAAUACCAAAGUCCAAAAUCCAAAACAAUUAUCAAGCUUCAAUUCCAUAGCAUAACAUAUCAUUUCAAAUAAGUCGUGGAGCACUAAGUAGCAUGGUCAACUAAAUCAAAAUAUGUCGUAGCACUAAAGGGGUCGGAUACAUAAUAGUCACCAACCGUAUAUCAAAAGUGGUAAAAGUCGUAUCAUCUACCAAACAAAACCAAAUCAAGGGGGUAAGACUCUAUCAACUACCUAAUAAAAGUUAAGCAUUGUGCACAAUGACUAAUGUCUACUGUCACUAGCUAUAGGUCCAUAACUCAAGUAGGCUCCACUAAAACAUAUGUAUUAUUUUUACUAAUAUCCAAAUACUUGAUCCCACAUGAAGAGAAGAAUCCAAUCACCAUCCAAGAAACAGAGGGUUUAAUAAAAUGAAGUCAGGUGUACAAAGUCUAUUGCCAAGCAAAGUAUAUUCUCCAUCAUCAACAAAAUAAGAAUUUGAAGCAAAUGCUAAAUCAAAUCAUCAAUCUCAAGGCAAAUUGACCCGAUGCUAGGGUCUAUGCAAGGUAAAUAACUUCGUUUUAAAUUUCCAAACUUGCAAUCAUUCAAAUAGUCAUAAACAAACAUAGAUUUUUUAGGUAUCAAACAUUUCAAAAGGAUUUUUCCCCAUGCCAAAGCUAUAUACAUAGUAACAUAUUUACAUAAGAUAUCUAGAUUUCAUAAAAUAAUCUUAAAACCAUUAUUCAUAACACAAAGUCCAUCAAAAUACGUUGUUGUAGAAUAGGCAUGCUUAAUUAUAUUAAAAUAAUUAAAAAUGUUGUAUCUACCCACUUCUUGAAACGCGCUUUUUUUUUUCUCUUGGCACCUUUCGUUAAAAGCUUGACUUUCCUAACAACUCAAAUUACUCCAAUAUCACCUAAAAAUGAUAUUUAAUCAUCAAUACUCUCAAAGUCCUAAUAAAAUGAUAUUCAAUCAUCAAUUUCGUCAACAACCUUUAAAAAUUUCAUAAUACUUUGAAUAUCCAUUUCUAACCCUAUUUAAUCUCCACUUAUUUCUAAUUAUUUCCACCAAACUUUCACCCAAACUUCAUACCCAAUAAAUAAAAAACUUAUUUUACCUAUUUGUCCUCUUUGGUGAGCCUUUAGUGGAGAGAUCUAGCCCAAUCUUGAAAACUUAAAAAAUUUAUAGCUUUUAAAAAGAGAAAACAAAAAUCAUCAAAACUAAGUUUUUUGGGAGUGAAAAUCCUUACCUUUAGGACUUAGAAUCCAAGAUUUAUUGAUAAGUUUGAAGGUUUUGAAAGGUUUGAAAUUUGAGAGAAAUUGGGUGGCGAAAUAAGGAGAUAAGAGAAGAAUGAGAAAUUUUCAAGUUUUAAGGCUUUUAAGCUUGUUUUAAGCUAACUAGGCAAUUUAGGAUUGACUAUGGAGGGUCUAUAGUCAAUCCUGGACUAGAAGGUUUUGGUUUCACUCAUUUCCCCUUCACAAAAUUGACUAUAAAGGAUCUAUACCCAAUCUUGGACCAGAAUGUUCACUUUUCACUUAGUUUUCCUUCACAAGAUCAACUAUAAGCCCUCUACUAUUGGCUCCAUUAGUUUUUGAUGAUAAUAAAACAUUCCCAUUCAUUUGUGUCUAAUUUCUUUACUUGAGUGUGUAGGAAAAUUAAUGUAUGAAAUUAAUAAAUCAAUCUUUCAAAGUGAAUAUCAAAAGAAAAAAAAAGAUAAAAAAAAUAAGACAUGACUGCUUAACUAGAAGGAAGCUCAUUAGAUGAAUAAGGAAGAAUGUUGGUUGGCCAAGAUUCAAAUUGGAGAAAUGACGGGCUGAAGAAUAUUGAGAAACAGAACCAACUUAGUAGACUAAGAAAUGAGCUAGUCGACUAAGUGCUUACUGCCAGAACUGCCAAAAAUAGGGAGCAGAAAACAGAGACGACUUAGUCAACUAAGAUAUCAGUUAGUCGACUAAGAGCAUUCUGCUUGCAAGUUUGAAAUCUGCACUAAAAGAUAGAGUAACGGCUAGAACUGACUCCUAACUGUCUCCAACGACUAGAAAACUAUUAAACUGCCAUCAGAGAUGUUUCUCCAAGUAUAAAAGAGUCUUCCAACAGUUAGAAACUAGUUUUUAGAAGUUUUGGAGGAGAUUUGAGCCAUAUAGAGCUGAAAAACCAGAAAAUCUUCUCUACACCUUGCUGCACUCAAACGCCCAUCCUUGAAUUUGUAUUAUGCACUCAACCUUGUACCAUUUAGAUCAACUUGUGAUCAUAGGUACUUUUUUUUACCUUUUUUCUUCUAUUCUUAGAGUGAGAGAGUCACUCUGAGUAGUUGUUUCAAGUUAGGAUUGCUUGAAGGUGUUAAGGUUCUAACUUAGCCUUUAAAAGUUAGGUGUUGGGUUAUAGUUGAGCUUGGGAAAAACUAGUGCAAAAGGUUUUGGCUGAGCCUUGUAAAAGCCAUUGUAAAGCUUGGUGAAAGCUUGUGAAUUUCACCGAUUCUUAGUGGAUUUGUUGGGAAAAUCCUUGGUUGGAUAAUCAAGGUAGUGGAUGUAGGUCUUGGACCGAACCACUAUAAAUUGUUGUGCAUUGUCUACUCUAUUUUUUUAUUUUCAUUAUUCUGAAAAUUAGUUCCUUAUUUUGUCAAGAGUCGAUUUGUGCUAUUCACCCUCACUCCAGCACAUAUUAUUGGGACCAACAAGUGGUAUUAGAGCUAGCUGUCUGUUAUUAAGGUCUAACACCCUUUGAGAGGAUCCAAAUGGCUCAACUAAAAUCAGUAGUGGCUGAGGGACAAUCAACAAAUAGACCACCUCUGUUUGAUGGCUCUAAUUACCCUUAUUGGAGCACUAGGAUGUUAAUCUAUAUUAGAGCUAUAGACUAUGAAAUGUGGGACGUCAUAACCGAUAGACCCUUUAUGCCCUCAACCGUGAAUGUGGUGACAAAUGAGUUGAUGCCAAAUCAAAGGUCUAAAUGGACUGAAACUGAAACUAAGAAAGCUCAAAUAAAUUUUAAGGCCAUCAACACAUUACAUUGUGCCUUGACCUCCACUGAAUUUAAUAAAGUCUCAAGCUGUUCAAUAGCUAAACAAGUGUGGGAGAAACUUAGAAUAAUCCAUGAAGGGACUUUUAAAGUAAAGGAGUCCAAAAUUGCCCUCUUAACACAUAACUAUGAAAUGUUCAAAAUGGAGCCUGGUGAAGACAUCACUAGCAUGUUAGAUAGGUUUACAAACAUCACAAAUAAAUUGAGUCAACUAGGCAAGCCUAUCCCUAAACAUGAAUUAGUAAAAAGACUACUUAAGAGUCUACCAAAAAAUUGGAAGCCUAAAGUGACUACAAUUCGAGAGGCAAAAGAUCUAAAUGUUAUCACCUUAGAUGAUAUUUGUGGCUCUCUCCUAACUCAUGAGCUAGAGCUUAAAAAGGAAGAAGAAAAAGAUAGGAGGGAACCAAAUGAAAAAAAAAAGAGCAUUGCACUUAAAGCUAGCAUCCUUGAGGAAGAGCUGGAAGAGUUGUCCUGUGAUGAUGAUGAAGAGUUAGCUUUGGUUGCAUGAAAAUUUAGAAAGCUUAUGGGCAGAAGAAAUCGGAGACUGGAUAAAAGAGGGUUUAGAAAAGAUCAAGGUGCUUCAUAAAAAAUCAGAAACAAAAAAAAAGGAGUUGAUUUGCUACGAAUUCAAGAAACUUGGUCACUUCAAGUCCGAGUGUCCAUUUAUGAAAGAUGAGACUCCAAAGAAAAAUAAGAAAUCCAAAAAAGCAGUGGCUGCUGCAUGGUUGGACAAUGACACAUCAAGCUCUGAAGCUGAAGAUGAAAAAUCUGAGGAAAGAGCAAACAUUUGUUUGAUGGCACAAAAGGAUGAAACCGAGGUAUCCUCAUCCCCCUAUGAUAUUUGCAUUAAUGAUUUAUAGGAUGAGUAUGACAGCCUCUGUGAUGAAUUUGAAAAACUUUUUUCAAAAUACAAAACAUUAAAGAAAAAGGAUGCAUCUAUUGAAAAUGAUUUGGAAAAGAUGAGACAAGAGUUCAAUUCUGUUUUUGAGCAAAGAAAUAUUUUGCAAAUUAAGUUAGGACACUCAAAAACAGAUUUUGAAGUUUUAAAAUUAGAGCUGAAUAAUAAGUCUGAUGUUGUGCAAAAAUUACUUAAUGAAAACACAGCUCUCAAAUGUUUGAAAAAUGAAUCUCCAAAAAGAUAUGCAUACCACAAUAAAAAUUCUGCUAAUGCAUUACCUAGAUGCAAUAAUUGUAGUAAACAUGGUCAUUUAUCAUAUGAUUAUUUUAAGAAAAGAAAUGUGCAGAAAAUCAGAAAAAUUUGGGUUCCUACAGGAUCCUAUAUUGCAAUUAACACUCAAGAAUCCAUCAAAGUAUGGGUACCUAUAAAGAAAAACUGAAAUAUUGUUUUGUAGGUUGAACUGCACUUAAAUGAGACAUGUUCAAGAGCUCAACUCAAGAAGAAGCAGCCUUGGUACAUGGACAAUGGCUGCUCACGGCACAUGACAGGAGAUGAAAUGUUAUUUGCUCAGCUAAACAAAAGAAAGGGAGGUACCGUAUCCUUUGGUGAUGAUUCAAAAAGUAGGAUUCAUAGGAUAGAUACGAUUGGUAAGAACUCCCAAACUCAAAUCAGUCACGUGUUGUUAGUUAAGAGUUUGAAGCAUAAUUUAUUGAGCAUUAGUCAAUUAUGUGACAAAGGAUUUAAAUUAUGUUUUGAUUCAAACAAGUGUGAAGUAAUAGAUAUAGGUACAAAUAAAGUCUCAUUUAUAAGAAAGAGAUUGAAGAAUAUGUAUGUUGUUUUUCUUGAGCAUCUUGAAAUAAAUAAUGAAAUAUGCCUUGUUACAAAUGCUGGAAAUGAUAACUAGUUAUGGCAUAGAAGAUUAGGACAUGUAAGCUUGCAUACUAUGUCAAAAUUGAUUAGAAAGAACUUAGUUGUUGGGCUGCCGGAUUUAAAAUUUGAAAAUGAGAAAAUAUGUGAUGCUUACCAACUAGGAAAACAAGUUAGAACAUCCUUCAAGACUAAGAAGAUUGUGUCAACAUCUAGACCUCUUGAAUUAUUACAUAUUGAUCUAUUUGGUCCAAUAAGCACAACUAGUUUAGGAGGAAAAUCAUAUGGCUUUGUAAUAGUUGAUGUUUAUUCUAGAUAUACUUGGGUUUAUUUUCUUGCUCACAAGAAUGAUGCUAUAUCAGUUUUUAUAAGUCAUUGUAAGAAAGUUAAGAAUGAAAAAAGACUAACCAUAGUUAGCAUAAGGAGUGAUCAUGGAGGAGAAUUUGAAAAUGAUGAAUUUGAGAAAUUUUGCAAUGAAAAGGGAUGGGAUCACAAUUUCUCUACACCUAGAACACCCCAGCAAAAUGGAGUGGUAGAGAGGAAAAAUCGAACAUUACAAGAAAUGGCUAGGACUAUGUUAUGUGAGAAUAACCUAACAAAAUAUUUUUGGGCUGAGGCUGUGAACACAGCAGCUUACAUACUUAAUAGAGUCUCAAUAAGAUCCAUGAUGUCUAAGACACCAUAUGAACUUUACAAGGGUAGGAAACCAAACAUUUCUCACCUUAGAAGUUUUGGCUGUAAAUGUUUUGUAUUGAACAAUGGAAAACAGCCCCUAGGAAAGUUUGAUGCAAAAAGUGAUGAGGCAAUAUUUUUAGGAUAUGCAUUAAACUCCAAGGCUUAUAGAGUUUUCAACAAAAGGACUCUAAAUGUUGAAGAAUCAAUCCAUGUAGUUUUUGAUGAGUCAAAUGAUUUACAAAAGGAAAGUCAUGUUGAUGAUGAUGAUGUAGAAAUCCUAGAAAACCAAAUGGAAGAAAUGAGCCUAGAGAACAAUAAGAAUAAUGAAGAAAGCUCAUCUAGAAGAGAAAAUGAAACUCCACCUCUAAAAGAUCUGCAAGAACAAAAAAUCAGCAUAGUGAUCUUCCAAGAAGUUGGAGAUUUGUAAGAGACCAUCCACAAAAGCAAAUCAUAGGUGACAUUUCUCAAGGUGUCAAAUCUAGAAAAGUAACUAGGGAGACUUGUGAAUUUUCAGCUUUCCUAUCUCAAAUUGAACCUAAAAACUUUGAAGAAGCUGAAAAUGAGGAAAGUUGGAUAAUGGCCAUGCAAGAGGAACUUGACCAAUUCAAAAGAAAUCAUGUAUGGUCACUAGUACCUAGACUUUCAAAUCACCCUAUUGUUGGCACAAAAUGGGUGUUUAGAAAUAAGGUAGAUGAGCAAGGAAAUGUAGUUAGAAAUAAGGUAGAUGAGCAAGGAAAUUUAGUUAGAAAUAAAACUAGGUUAGUAGCCCAAGGAUACAACCAAGAGGAAGGAAUAAACUAUGAUGAAACCUUUGCACCGGUUGCUAGAAUUGAAGCCAUAAGGAUGUCGUUAGCUUUCGCAUGCUUCAUGAAUUUCAAAUUGUACCAAAUGGAUGUAAAAAGUGCAUUUUUAAAUGGAUUCAUUCAAGAGGAAGUAUAUGUAGAACCACCACCAGGUUUUGAAGAUUUUGAAAAACUAGAUCAUGUUUUCAAACUCCACAAAGCUUUAUAGGGAUUGAAACAAGCUUCUAGAGCUUGGUAUGAGAGGCUUUCAAAAUUUAUGGUUGAAAAAGGUUAUGAUAAAGGCAGCAUUGAUACUGCAUUGUUUAUUAAAAGAUGUUUAAAUGAUCUAAUUGUUGUGCAAAUAUAUGUGGAUGACAUUGUAUUUGGUGUAACUAAUGAGGCUUUAUGCAAGAACUUUGCUAAAGAAAUGCAGGGUGAAUUUGAGAUGAGCAUGAUGGGAGAGUUGAAGUACUUUCUUGGUCUUCAAAUUAAAUAAAGUGAAGAAAGAAUCUUCAUCAACCAAGAAAGGUACACUCAAGAUAUGCUCAAAAAGUUCGAUAUGCUAAAGCUGAAACUAACCUCCACACCAAUGAGUCCAUCCACAAGACUUGAUCUUGAUGAAAAAGGAAAGAAUGUAGAUCAAAAGCUGUAUAGAGGUAUGAUCAGUUCACUACUUUAUUUAACAGCAAGCAGACCAGAUAUUCAGUUUAGCGUGUGUUUGUGUGCUAGAUUUCAGUCAUAACCUAAAGAAUCACACCUAACAAUUGUUAAAAGAAUUUUUAGAUACCUUUUAGAAACUCAAACUUUAGGAUUAUGGUAUUCUAGAGAAUCAUCAUUUGAUCUUGUAGGCUAUUCAGAUGCUGAUUUUGCUGGCAGCAAAACUGACAAGAAAAGUACUAGUGGAACAUGCCAAUUUCUAGGUAGCAUGCCUAUGCCAUGGUCCAGCAAGAAACAAAGUUCAGUAGCUUUAUCUACAGCUGAAGCAGAGUAUAUAUCACUAAGUAGCUAUUGUGCACAAAUUCUUUGGAUUAAACAACAAUUGAAAUACUAUGGAAUGACUAUCCAUAACGUACCAAUAUACUGUGAUAACACAAGUGCAAUUAAUAUAUCAAAAAAUCCUAUGCAACACUCUAGAACAAAACACAUUGAGAUUAGACAUCAUUUUGUUAGAGACCAUGCAGUGAAAAAUGAUGUUAAAAUUGAAUUUGUGAAUACUUUGCAUCAACUAGCUAAUAUUUUUACUAAACCGCUGAAUGAAGAUAAAUUCUAUGAAAUUAGAAGAAAUCUAGGUAUGAUUAGUCAACAGGAAUUGUGAGAAAACCUUUGGUUCAUGAACAUGAAACAGAAUGCAUUUAUUCGACUAAGAUAAAUCUUAGUCAACUAAGAGUAUUCUGGUAGCAUCAAAUAAUAAGACUUAGUGAAUAAAAUAAGGAAAGAAUAAAAUAAUAUAAAGCAUGUGUGUACCGAGUGAUAAGGAAAGAAGAAAUACUGCCUAAAGUGAAUAACCAAAAUUUAGAGGGAGUUUUGAAAUUUUGAGCAAAUAGAAUAGGGCAAUAUUUAAGGGGGGAGGUGAAUGAUUUUCUAAGAGAAAUUAAAACUACUGACAACUUCUUUUUCUCCAUUUUCUUUCCCCUAAAACUCAAAAAUCUUAAACCAAAACCCUUUUCUCUCCACUUUCUUGCCUAUGAAACCGACUCAUACCAAAACUAAAACUCUCAAACCCAAGUCUGAAAUUUUCAAAAUCAAAAUGGCAAAAACAUCUCAAAGUAGAGAAAUCAUUGAAAAGAAGAAGGGAAAGAGACCAGUGGAAGAAGGAUCAAAAAUGGAAUUACUGAAAAAGAAACAAAAAAUCACGUCUGCUUCAGUGAAAGAGAUAUCUGAGAAAUUGAAAGAAAAGAAGCAGAAAACAGAAAAAAAAAAGAAGGACAAGGAAUCCACACUUAAGAAACGUACUAGUUCUUCCUCUUCUAAGUUCAAAAAUAGGAUGCAUGAACUGAGGUUCAGAAAAAUUGAGAAUGCACCUAUAACUUAUGGCAAAUAUAAUGACUGGAAGAGUUUUAAUGAGAACUUAGAAAUUCAAACAAGUUUAUCCAACUAUUUUAAUGAAUUAAAACUGAAAGGAUAUAGCACUUUUAAGAAUAGAUCUUACAAUGCAAGUCUGGUAAAGGAGUUCUAUUCUAGCAUUGCUUUAGGAGAAAAAGAAUUAGAGGAUUCUGAUGACUAUGUCGAAAAUGGUCUGAAUGUGUAUUUGAAUGGGAAAAAAUUUGUUGUCAUUGCUUGUCACGACCCGGAACUCCCAUCGAGCCCGUGACAACCGUCGCGAUGUCCUAAUAGACAUUCAUUACCUGAAAUGCCAAUCGAAACCUAGCAAGGCAUAACAUCAGUUUUCUCGCUUCCCCUAUGAGUAUUAGUUACUAAAUCAUGUUUUAAAGUGAUAUGAAACAAUUUCAAUUCAAAAACAGUCAAAGAAAAAUUUCAACUACACAGGGGUAUUUUGGUCAUUUUUCACAAAAAUUCCAAAACUAGCUAAAAUGUACUGUAUGAGAGAAAUUUACACAUUUCAUAACCGAAAAUAAGUUUACAUAUCUAAAACAUUCAUUUAAAGUGAAAUUAUAGCUACUGGAAAAAAAUAAAAAUAAUAAAUAAAAUAUUCUAAUUUUUCAUAAAACAAUUUUUAUAGAGCACUAAGUAAAUAAUUUUUAUAGUGUCAAAGCAAAAUAAAUUCCUACAUACAGUAGCACACAUAGCCAAGUAUUCAAAACAUUUAACAAUGACAUGUGGGCCCUCGAAUGACUAAAAGUAAUGAAGGUUGUGAAGCUACAAUUUUUGAGGAUGCAAGUCCAACUGUAGCCCUCAACAAAAUGAGCUAUCUACCGACUAUCUUGAGCUGAAAUGGGUGCAAAUGAGGGUGGUGAGAUUUUAUAAUCCCAGUGAGUAAACAAAUACCAUCUAAAAUAUCUAAAGUUGAGUAAAUGGAUACAGAUAAAAUAGAUUAGCAUAAAAAUGAUUCACAACAUUUCGAACUCAUUUUAGUAAGAUAAAAUAGAUUCAUUUCACUCAAAAUAAACAACGAGGCUUAUGAUUUCCUGAAAAGCUUGGCUCGUGCCAAAAUCAUUCUUAUACUCAGUUGUCAGGGAUACCUUGGCUUGGAGCUAUCCCAACCGAGUCCACCAAGGCUGUUAAAAAGUCAUGUACGCAUAAAUCAUGUUUUUAUUUUGAAAACAUAGCCUUUCCUUGGCGUUGGCUUAGUUCACCCUUACGUGGUGGUUUGGCGUAAAGUGAACUCUAAAGUUGUACCUAGGAAGUUACCUUACACGCCUCUCUGAUCGAGGUAAGAAUAUAACAGGAUUUCGUGCCCCUCAAAAAGACUGGUCUAUAGAACCCGCCCACUGUAGCAAGCUAAACCCACCAUACAAUAAAAAUUCAACAGCAUGACAUGGCAAUUUUAUCAUUAUCUAGCCUAUCAAGGUAAACAACAAUUUAUACAUUUUCAACACAAAUACUCAUCCAGCCAUUCAUGCCCACAUUAUCAUAAGUCAUUCAAUUCAAAACAUAAUUUACAAUACAGCAAGUAGUCUCCAAUUACUCCAUUUUCAAAACCAUCGUUCAAUUUCAAGACAAUUUUAUAAAAUCAUUUCAUUUAAUCACAUUUUCCAUAAAAUCACAAAAACGAAUUAAAAUUCACUUUAGAUAAUUAAGAUGAUGAUAAGGUUACUCACUAUUUCGGGAGUCAAAUUUUGAGUACUCCGAUUCUUGAUCCUCGGGUACUAUCGCUUUACUUUUGCCAGAAAGCUCACCACCUAGACAUAAUGCACAAUAAGCCAUUUACUACAUUUGUGCUAAACCGUUGCAAAACCAAUUCAGGCUUUAUACUAAUGCAUGAAAUGGGAUGUGAAAUACUCGGGUAACUAUCUAAAUACGGUGUUCAAUAUAAAUUCAAUUAUGUACCUAAAUAAAAUGAUAUUGGCCUAAUUCAAUCUAUCACCCAAUUAAUUGGCCAAUAUGUCCAAUUUAACUCCAUUUUUCUUCUAAUUCUCCAAACCAUCAAACACAAGUCAAAUAACAUAAAAUUUAGCAAAAUCAUCUUUCUCUUGGGAAUUUCGGCCAUGGUGGGUGCAUCAAUACUAUGAUUUUUCCUACUUGAUUUUCUCACCGUAAUUCAUCAUUUCCUAACCAAUUCACUUGAAAUAAAAUCAAAUCCACCAUCCACACUCUACAUGGAAAAAUCGACCAAUGAUGGGUGAUGGGAGGAAGUGAAUUUUUCUUGUUAGCUUUUCAUGCUACACAUCACUAACUAACUAAAAACACUAAAAUACAUUGAAAUCUAACCAAAUCAAGCAUCAAAACCUCCCUCUAAGUGUUCGGCCAGCAAGGGAUUCAUCAUGAAAUCAUGUGAUUCAACCAUGGAAAAUGCAAAAGAAUGUAUGGGAAAGGUAGAUCGCAAGUCAAAAUCAAGAAAUUUUACCUUUGAUUGCUUGAUUACUUGAAAUCCACCAAUUUUCUCUUGAAUUUUCACUCUAGGGUUUUUGUUCUUUCUUUUCUUCCUUUGUUCUUGCUUUGGCCGGCCAUAAGAAUGAAUGUGGAAGAGUUCAAAUUGGCUUUAUAAAGGAAAAUAUUAAAUGGACAAAAAUUUACCAUGUGUCACCAUUCCAUUGGUC